rnacentral:lncRNA from 1 species
CCGCUCUGUCUCUCCUCCUCCAUCUUUUGAGGUAAAAUUUUGUAGAGGCCUUUUAUUUUUCUUUUUCUUUUGUUGACAAAAAAAAAGUGGUGGAAAUUUUGUGCUUCCGCUCUGUUUUCUGGCGUUAUUUUCUGUUUUUAGUAUCUAUAAAGCUCUGCAUUUGCGUAAGCUUUACCGUACUUAAUCCCCUUUGCUUAAUGUGAUUUUUUUUUUCUCGGGGCAUCAUUUCAUCCUCCUUUUGAACCUGCGUAAUGGGACAUUUUUGAAGUGUUAGCUUGGAGUACUGUUUGGAAAUUUUUUUUUUCUCUUUUCAAUCAAAUUGGUUCCUUUUUUUCAACAUUUUUUCUUAUCGUAUCUGUCAAAUUUGCUAAAUUUCUAAUAUUAGUUCCUGUUCACUCGACUAUUAAGCACUUUUGAGAAAGCAGAAGAAAGCAAAAGAAUAUUUACCCACCAUCAGAGAAAGCAGAAGAAAGAGAUUAAGCAGAAGGUGCUCCUGUCUGAGCACUUUUGACUAAUAUGGCAUAAUUGAUUUUUCUAGAGAUUUGUCUUGCCUCUGUGAACUCUGCUAUUGGGGUAUAAUGUAGAGACUGCUAACUCUUUAGUCCAUUUAAUCAAGAGUUCUUGUCUCAACCUUCUUGUAUUUUUGGAUUCAAUUGGUAAAUUAGCUCGACUUUACCCACUGCAUCACACUCUAAUUUUCAUUCAGGUAACAAUGUCGUGAAAGCUUCAUUUUUAUGUGAUUUUUUAAAUUUUCUUCUAUUAUUCUUGCUAAUGUAAGAAUACUUCUUUCCAGUAGCCCUUUUAAAAUUUUUUUUUUUCCUCUCUCUCCCCUUUUUUCACAGUUUUUGGACAUAUUUGGUAUGUUAAACUGCAGAUACUUCUGCUCCUCUUUUUGUUUCUUUGCUUUUGAUACAGAGGACAGGGACAGGAUUGGAGGUGGGCUGGGCAUUGUGGCUUUGUUUAAACUCUAAUUGAUGUACAGGGAUUUAAUGAGCUUGCAACUGAUUUUUUUUCAUUGUGCAUGCUAAUUUACAAAGCUUGACUUCACAGGCCAGACAAUUACGUAUUUUAUUCUUCUUGAGUAUGGAUAUGAUGGCUCACAAAAUGAAAUGACCUAUUCCACCUAAGCAUGUUUGUGCUAUCACAGCUUUAGCGCUCUCAAAAUGCUUAGUAAGAUUGCUUCUGUAUUUCAAUUGUCAUUCCGCUGCCGUCAUUUGGAAGUUUACAACUUAAAGAACAGUACAUUGUUCACUUCAAUUCUGCAUCUGAGUACCUUAUCACCUGAAUUUAUGAUAGAUCACACAUUGUAUCAAAUUCAGUAGUCAGUACCUUGGGAUCUCUCAUGCAGUUCUAUCAUUAUAAUUUCCUUGUAUUCCUAAUGCUUAUAUUCAUUUAAGCUUGAUUCUUCAGGCCAAUGUUUUGUGGUUUUAUUGGUUGCUUCACUUUAUGCAAUUUAAUUAUAUGUACAACUUUUGCUAAUGAUGUCAACAUAUUAAGCUUUAUGGGUCACAUGAUUUAUGUAAAUCAUCUUUUGGUUCAUGUUUAUUGUUAGAUGGGUAGCAGUUGCUCAGAUGAAGAAUCAGAUAUAAGUGAUUCAGAGAUUAAGGACUACAAAGAAAAGCCGUUAGAAGAAUUGAAGAGUGGAAAGUUCAAAGUAAAGGGCCCAAAUGGCUCCCUUCGUUGCCCUUUCUGUGCUGGAAAGAAGAAGCAGGAUUACAAAUACAAGGACCUUCUACAACAUGCUUCUGGAGUCAGUAAAGGUUCUGCCAACAGAAGUGCAAUACAGAAGGCAAAGCAUCUUGCUUUAGCUGAAUAUUUGGAGACUGAUCUUGUAAACGAGGCUGAGCCACAACCAUUACGUGUAACUCCACCAGCGGUUGCUGAUACAUCUGAGCAGAAUGAGUUAUAUUGUUGGCCUUGGACAGGGGUGGUGGUGAACAUUCUGAACGAGACGAAGAGUGGGAAAGCUGUGGAUAGCAGUGCAUUCUGGUUGAAUAAAUUCUCCAAAUACAAGCCUCUGGAAGUUAAAGUUUUCUGGGAUGAUGAGUGUCAGAUUGCACAAGCUGUGGUAAAGUUUGAUAAUGAUUGGAUUGGUUUCAGAAAUGCAAUGGAGUUUGAGAAGUCCUUUGAAGGUGAUCACCAUAGCAAGAAAGAAUGGAUUGAUCAGAAAACUAACUCUGCUUCAGGUAUUUUUGGCUGGUCUGCACGUGCUGAUGAUUAUUAUUCAGAAGGACCCAUUGGAAAGUAUCUUCGCGAUACUGGAGAACUUAAAACUGUUGCUGACCUUGUCAAGGAGGCCGUGAAUGACAGAAACAAAGUUGUGGCUAAUUUAACCAAUGAGAUUGACCUGAAAAAUGAAAAUUUGAAUAAGUUAAGAACAAAAUACAAUGAGAAGACCUUAUCUUUAAGUAGGAUGCUGGAGGAGAAAGACAUGCUGCAUCGUGCUUUCUGUGAAGGUUUUUCCUCCUAUGUUUUCAUGCUAUUAGACACACUGAUUUACUGUAAUUAACUUUGGUUUAUGUGUGUUUUUUUUUUUUUUAAAUUUCCUUGUUCCUUUCAGAAAGAAGAAAGAUGCAACGGCUUGCUCACGAUCAUGUUAAAAAGAUUCUUGAUGAACAAGAGAAGCUUAACUCGGAGCUGGAUAGCAAGAAGAAAAAACUUGAUUACUGGAGUAAAGAGUUGAACAAGCGUGAAGCCUUAACUGAGCGUGAAAGGCAAAAGCUUGAUGAGGAGAAGAAAAAGGUGAUACCAUUUGCACAUUAGAAUGCAGUCACUUAUAUAAUGUGAGAAACAUUUCCUGAUUGGUGUCAACUGAUGGUUUCCAGAAUGACAUGAGAAACAAUGCACUUCAAAUGGCGUCUGUAGAGCAGAGAAAAGCAGAUGAAAAUGUGUUGAGACUAGUUGAAGAACAAAAGGUGGGUUCGAUUAAUAUCAUGUUUAUGCUCCUUUUUCCGAGUUAAUUAUUACUUUGCUUUCUUUUUCAUAUUGUUCCUUGUAAAUUGGGAUGUUAUAUAUGCAGAGAGAAAAGGAGGAAGCUCUAAAGAAGAUUCUGGAUCUGGAAAGGGAUCUAAAUGCAAAGCAGAAGCUGGAAAUGGAAAUUGAAGAACUGAGAGGUAAAUUAGAAGUGAUGAAACAUUUGGGAGAUGAUGCUGCUGUUCAGAAGAAAAUCAAAGAGAUGACUGAGGAACUGAACGAGAAAGUUGAGGAAAUGAAGUCUGUUGAGGAUUUGUAUCAAACUUUAGUCACCAAAGAGCGCCAAAGCAAUGAUGAGCUUCAAGAAGCUCGAAAAGAAUUGAUAUCGGUACUUUCUUUUUCUUUUUUCCCUUUCAAGUUUCCAUAGAGUUCAUUAAAACUGAAGUUGUGGUUGAUACUAUAUGAGAAGUAUAGGAUCAGAAAGCAAACAUCGGAACCAUUCUACAUGAACUUGAUUCAUGUUAAAAAAUUAUUGCUGAUUUAUAUGGACUGGACAUCCAAAAUGGUAGUGGCUAUCUGAUAAUGCCUCUCUGAUUUUAUCUAAAGAAUGAAAAGUUGGUGAUGUUCUUUUGAUACUAAACAAGAUGACUGUAAGGUAUGUUAUAUGUAGGAGAGGAAUCUAGGCAUGAGUUAAUCAAUGGGUGGUCCUUAGUUGAUCACAUCUGAUUCAGAAGUGAUAUUCUUUUGCGUAUCGUGUAUGGCGUGAAACUGAUUAGUUCACAUGUUGAAAUAUGUGAAUACAAUGUUGUGUUCUUUGCUUUCAGGGCUUAAGUGAGAUGCUGACAAGAGGCCGUGCUCAUAUUGGUGUUAAGAGAAUGGGUGAAAUUGAUCCGAAGACUUUUGAAGGUGAAUGCAAGCAGAGAUACCCUGAUGAUUAUGACUACAAGGCCCUAGAAUUGUGCUCCUUAUGGCAAGAAAGAUUAAAGGAUCCUGAUUGGUACCCAUUUAAAAUUGUCAGGGUCGAUAGUGAGAAUCACCAGGUAGGCCCAAAAUCAUUCACUGUAUUCUCUCCAGUUUCUGUUUUUCACCCCAUCUUUUCACUCAAUGCCUUUCAUGGCUGACUUCCUCUUGUAAAUACCGGAAGCCACUAGUUGUACGUCUCUUCAGCAUGUUUUAGUUUCACUUAUCUUCCAUAUCUAUAUGGGCAAAGGUUCUUUUAUUCCCAGUAUGUUGUAAUAUUUAUUCCUCAAUGCAGAAAAUUCUGGAUGAGGAUGAUGAAAAACUCAGGGAAUUAAGGUCAGAAUGGGGAGAGAAUAUCUUCCUUACUGUAACAAUGGCCUUGAAGGACAUAGAUGAGUACAAUUCAAGUGGUAGAUAUGUAGUUUCUGAGUUGUGGAACUUCAAAGAUGAUCGAAAGGCCACAUUGAAGGAGGUGAUUGGUUUCAUCUUCAAGCAAUUGAAGACUCUCAAGCGCAAGAGAUGAUUAGUUGAGGUACGCGUCUUAUCCAUGUAUGCUGUCUGUUUACUAGAUUUCGGAUACAUGCAAUUAGCUUCUAGUUAACAGCUGGGUCAGUUGUCAAGUGAUAGGCAAUUAUAUAUGUGGUUGUGCUUACCCUACUAGGGUUCUCUUAUGUAGAUGUGCUCUUCUUUCUCUCUCUCUCUCUCUCUCUCUCUCUCUCUCUUUUGUAUUUCUGUAGGCUAGCGGGAGAAGUUUGCAAAUUGAAUGCUCACAAGCCAGCAUGGAUUGGACAUGGUUUGAAACGAUAAUCCUCUGUAGCACAACGAGUCUCAGCAGGCAUAUGUUUUCCUUGUGCGCUCUUGUGGGAAAGACCGUUCAAACUAAUAAUAAUAAUAUUUGCUGAAACAAGACAAUUCUGUACAUUCGAAUUGGGCCUGGCCAAACUUUUGAAAAUCAAUUCGACCAUGCUUAAAGGUCUCCUUUGCAAUGGUCCGUUCUGGAAACUGAUGCCUGUCCGUUAUAUUUGUUUUAGGUGGCCUGGCAUAUCAUCUGUUCCAUUCAAUCCGGAAUCGUUGCUGGGAUGCCACGCCAACUUCAACACCCCAAACACAUUCUAGAGUGUCAGGUUAUUUAGUAGAUUAUGUUUUAUACAGACAGAGUCCUAAAAAUGAUAGUUUAACCUUCAAAAAUCAAUUGCAAAUCAGUUCAACAUGUUCCGCGCACGUUAGCUUAUUUCUGUGAAAUAACGCUGUUCGUUCCUGGGUUGGGCUCUAAAAUCACAUAGCAACAAGGAAGACUUUAGAGGUGGUCAAAAGGAGAAGAAUAUUACAACCACCGAUUAAUAUUAUCAAACAAACAAGAACAGAAGAAAAGCUCAUUAGCACUGUUGGUAAGGGCCAAUUGUUCGUUAGGCCUGAAGGUUUCCUUUUAAAAGCUAGUUUUUGCACCGAUUUUCGCACCGCUUGACCUGAGAAGAAAAUCUAAUUCUGGCAGUACAAAACAUCAUAUGAUUAGGGAUCAAUAAUAUUCCAACAGAAUUUGGGUCACAAUACAGUGAAGCACGUCUGAUUUUACAAAACAUUCUACUUCAUCCUGCACUGCAGAUUAUUAACUACAUAUGCUGGAAAAAACAAAGUAAAUGAAAAGGAUUACGAAACUAAAUCAGUGCCAGCACAAGGAAAUGAAAUCAGAAUACCUGGUGACUUCAUCCAGUCAAUAACCACCCCAAACAUCUGACUGUCGAAUAGACGUAGAAAAGUAGAAUUACUAGCAGAUGUAGUACACACACGGUACUAUGCUGGGAGAGAAAUUCUUACAUAUCCGUAGCAAAAAAGUAAGACAUUCCUUGCAUAUCCGUAGCAAAAAAGUAAGACAUUGUCUGCGCUUGUGCGCUAGAGUAACUGUAUAGAACCAUUUCUCCAACAGAUCAUGUUUACCCAGAUUGACUGGCCCAAAAAUUUAGAACCCUUAUGUCACCAACUACAGUUCCCAUAGGUUCCCACACUGACCACAAAACACCCUCAGACUAAUGCAAACAGAAAAGAAUGGAAGGAAAAACAAAUAGAGGAAUGGUAGAAAGAAAUUUUGACAAAAAAGAAUCGAUGAAAGAAAUUUGUACUCACCUAGAGAGAAAAUUUUGGACGAAAAAUCUUCCUCCAUAUAUAGGCCUGAUAAUUACAAGAUAGCAAUAAUCAACAGGCAACAAUAGAUAUUUGCAGGAAGAAAGUCUAAGUUCCAAGUUAGUAGUAAAUUUGAAUGCCACAAACCCAAUGACAUGCUGAACUUGAUAUUUGCAGGAAAAAAAAAAAAAAAGCUUCAGACAACUCAAAAAUACAAUAGAUCCAAGAUCCAGGCUUGCAUGACUCAUGUCUAUGGUACCAACAAGAUGCCGAUUCUGAAUCCCUUAACUAAAUGUCAAUGGUUGAGUGAAUGAAAGAAGGCAACUUGGGAACAAUCAUACUAAGCAGCUUCUUUCGUUGUUCUUGAGCAGUGGGACAGCUCUCUUUCGUUGUUGACACUUAAAAGAACUCAUGCUAAGCAGACUGUCAACAUCCUUCUUAAAAUGGAACUUCAUAACAUUUAUCUCCAAGCAUUAAGAGAAAUUCACAUUUUAACCCUGCAAAUAUAGUGGUUAAAACAAAGUCGAAUAUUACAGGAAGCACAUCAAUGGCACUUAUCAUUCAUUUCUGACACUUGAAAGAACUUGUGCUAAUAUGGCUUUGUGCAGACUUUUGACAUCCUUCUUAAAAUGGAUAUUCAUAUUAUUUAGCCGAAGGAGCCAGCUAGAGAUAUUGAUUUUAACCAUGCGAAGAUCAUGCUGGUUGGAAACAAAAGGGAAUGAUCAAGGAAGUAAAGACAAAAGGAAUUCCUAACCAAUAUAACUAUCACUAUGACUUCAACAUGCUCAAUAAAGAAGAGAUGAGUUUGAACGUGGAAACUAUUUAAAGCUAAUCUGUGAACCACAAGCUGGGAAAGCCAUUAACUCACAAUGAAGCCCGGUUCUAAGAAUAAAUUACUAGCAUGCUAUUGACAUAAAUGACGCAAAUCCCGAAUUAAGGUAAGUUGUGACUCAAGACAUUUCUGUUUGGUCAAUAAACCAAAUAGUGGAAAGAUUUACCAGGUUUCUAUCACCCACGGAUUGACUAUUGAUUCAAAUCUAGGUUACGGUUAAAACUGGAAAGGACCAAAAGAACACAGAUUAAUUAUGGAAAAGAAAAGGUACAAGAAGAAGAGAAAACGGAUACAAAACAUACCUGUACAACCUCUCACAAAAGUCUCGAAGCAAAAGCAUUUGAUUCAGCCAAAAUGUGCAUGAUGAACCCUGGAAUGUCAAUGAGAACUUGUUUUGAUAAACUUGAGAACUAUCAUUAAUAUCAAUGAGACCUUGUUUUGAUAAACUUGAGAACUAUCAUUACUCGCGGGACACCCAUCCAAAUGUUUUUAAUUCUAGUCAUCAAUCCAGACCACUCAUGUUGGGAGUGAGCAAGAAGUGAAGAGGAUUGAAAACACAAAACCAAGGAAAUCAUUCAAUAUAUACGGAAACGAACAGAUAAUUUCAUCAAUCAAACAUCUUUAUCUGGAAAGUUUACAAAGAAGUACAUGGAGUACAAUAAACAUCUACUAUCAAUUCUUUGUUUUCACACAUUUUUAUUUUUUUUCAGUGAACAUUCUGUCCAUUCUCAACACCUAGACCGUACAAGACACCAGUAUACUUCUCCAGCGAGCCACUAAAGAAGUUCUCUUUCAACUUCCUGAAUGUACAAGCUGUGAGCAAGCUAUCUGAACCGGCUUGGUGGCAGACACCAACCCUCUCAACUUCCAAGAGCUCUGCCAGCUUGUUUAAUCCACCAUGGAGGCUGUUGCAGAACUUCAUCAAAUGCUUGAUAUCAUAUAUUACCGGAAAGUAGAUAUUAAUCAAUGUAAAAAACUCUGCCUGCGUGUCCGGCAGGUUCUGGCAUGUGAGGAGCUUAAGCAAAUACCCGAAAUCAUAUCCACUAUGAAAUGUAACCCAAUACACAUUAUCAUUCAAAACAAUCCCGGAUGACAUCAAUAGCUCCCCGAAAUGCUUUGCAUCAAUACCCUUUUCGUUAUUCUUCGCAAAAUCAAACCCACUCUGCCUCAACAAUUCAAUGGAAUCAUUCGCAAAAACAUCUUCAUUCGGGUUAAACUCCCUGAAAUUGAACUGCCAGGUGCAAUACUUAUUAUCCACUCCACAUUUAGGCAGAUUUCCCUUCUCAUCCGAAAAUGUGAGGCCUAAUUGGAUUAACUUCAGUAAGUCUACAUUGUCCUUUAAAGUUUGAUAAUGAAAAUCAGUAUUGCUCUUGAAAUUUCCCACGGGCCUAAGAACAACACCAGGAAACUCGGUAUCCAUAGCUACAUAAGGAUAGUCAUCCACAAUUUCUCGGAUCAAUGCAAACUCUUCUUCAAGAUUAUCAUUCCAUACCUCCCGAAUUUGAACCGAUUCGCUUUUAGGCAAAAGCGACAUCUCUUGGAAAAACAAAAAAAAACCAGAACCUUUUUUUGAACUGUUUCAAUCAAAAUCUACACAAAAUUUCUCUCAAAGAACAUAAUCCUCAGAGAUCCUUGAGAUUUACCAGAACCUAAAUCCGAUCUAUUGGACAACCCUCCAACUCCAACAGACCUGCAAGAAAGUCAAAACCCAGAAAAAUCAGCCCAGAAAACAACAAUUAAUCAAAACCCACAAAAAAUUAACCAGAAAAGAAACAAAAAUUAUUAGGAUCCGGAUAAGCAAAAAAGCCAGAAAAUCUUUCCGAAAAACUUACCCUCCAAUCAAUUAAAGAUCCAAACUUCUUUGAAUUCUGAAUCAAUGAUCGGAAGCUAAUAAGUAUAAGAGCGUGGAAACGUAUAAUUUUUCUUUUCGAAAUUAUGUAUUCCUUUAUACAUACAUAUCAAUAUAUGUAUAUAUAUCUCUAUAGAGAGAAAUAGAGAGAGAGAAAUGUCUUAGGGUUUGAAGAUGGGAGAUGUAUGGCGGCCAAGAGAGAUAAGAAGAUUAAGUAAAUUAGGGCAAGAAAACAAAGGCAAUUUUUUUUUUUCCAAUAUUUUUAUUUUUUUUUUAAUCUUUUUUUUUUUUUAAAGAGAAACAGAGAAGAGUUGUUUUUUCUUUUCUACAUAGAGAGAGUGAGAGGAGGCUUUGGGGUGAACGAGGAUGGGGGGCCCCUUCCCUGUUCAAACCUUCUGCAACGAGUCUCUGAAUUUCUUAAAGUUGCUGCUGCAGCCAGUAAAGGGCUUUUUAAAAAAAAAAAAAAAAAAUUGUCAUUAUUAAUUUAAUUUAAUUUUAAAUUUUUGGGAGGAAAAAGAGGAGACAGAGGGCUGCAUAGGAUGUGGAGCAUAGGAUGUGGAGGGGAAAGAUUUGAAUUUUACUAGUCAAUAAAAGAAUCAAGGGUUUUGUUUGACAAAAUUGUUUGAUGGAUGGAUGGAAGAUUAUUGAACAAGUCAAGGGUUUUGUUAGGGUCUAAUGGCCAAUCUAAUCACAAAUUAUGCAUUUCAUAAUAAAAAAAAAUGUAUUAUGUCUCCGAACUUUCUAUUUUUGUCAUUUGUUCUCUCGAAAUUAAGCAAAUCGCACCUUUACCUCAUUACCGUUUCUCAUAAAUUGAACCAUAACUAAAGCACUCUUUAUCAGAUUUGUGCAGCAGCUGAUUGCAGAUUAAUAAUUAAUUAAUGUUACUGUAAUUAAUGAAUGAAUAAGUUGGCACUUCUUCUACAGAUUUGAUUUUGAUGGGAGCAGAAGCGAAAGUUAAGGAGGAUAAUUAAUUAGAGCUAAUUUGAAAUGUAAGGAAUUAGUGUAUGAAUAAAUAAAUAAAUUGUAUCUGACCUCCCUCAUUCUCAUCGUGGAUGCCAUGGUAGGGACCAUUUAGGCCGGUAAGGGUAGAUUAAUGAUUGAGAUUUGUGUGGUCAGCGAUGGAAGCCUCGUCCGGGGCGGCAAUGGGUUGGCUUUUACCUAUCAGAUUUUUCUUGGGACGUUUUCGUUGACUCUUGAGGCCCCAAAAACAAAACAAAAAAGUUGCACAGUGAUUUUUUAGCUCGAAGCAUUGCUAAGUGGGACAUUUGUACCACUACAAAAGCUGAGUAGAAAAAACGACCCAAUUAGUGAGUCAGCAGAGGUUUUGGUGAAUCUGAAAACAACACCUGGUCCUGCGCCUGCGCCUGCCGUAGUAGCUGCUGCCGCACUGCACUAUGAUCGAUCAUCAGGUACUGUCUUGUUCCUGAUUCGUGAAGGAUGAUGACAUAUUAUUAACUUUUGAAAUUUUAAAGUGCAACGCUCGCUGUCAAUUAGUGUACAAGUUUAUGGAAGAUUCCACCGCGUAGGUGAAAUUCAGUUGUUUGACAAAAAAAAAGAAGGUGAAAUUCAGUUAGAGAAAGACAAAAAAGAAACUUGUGUUAAACCGGUUUGUUUGGAUAGUGUAUUAUUUAAAAUAUUAUUUGGAAUAAUUACUGUAACAUUUUUUGUGAUGUGAUGUAUGUGAAAUAAAAAAGUGAUUGGGAAUAUAAAGAGGUGAGUUGGAAAAUGUGUUUACGAUGCAAGCGGAAAUAUUAUUUGAGAUAAAAGCACUAUCCAAACAACAAGAUGAAAAUAAUAAUGACAGGUUUGUUUGGAUUUUUUAUUUUUUUAAAUAAUAUUUCAUUUGAAUCAUAAACACGUUCCUCAAUUUAUCUUUUUAUAUUUUCAAUCACUUUUUUAUCUCAUAUACAUCACAUCAUAAAAAGUAUUACAGUAACUAUUAUAAAUAAUAUUUCAAAGAAUACUCUAUCCAAACCGACCCUAUCUUAAUAAUGUAAUCGAGAAUAUAAAAAGUGGUCAAAAAAAUAUGUUUAUAAGAAUGUAAAUAAAAUAUUUUUUAGUGGCUCGACCAGAUGAAAAGCUAGGCAUUAUCAGAAGGGGGCAACGAAAGAGAAGUGGUGCUACUCUGUACCAGUAAUUCAUAUCCAUAGUGGUUAAAGUUUUUCGAAGAAAAAAAAAAAUCUGUAAAGCUGAAGUAACAAAAUUGAUGCAAUAAGUGCAGGGGAGUGAUGAUUGGGACGGUAUAAUCAUCUUCAAAUGCACGCUACAUUGACGUCUCUUCACCAAAAAAAAGUGAAGAGUGGAGGCCCCACUUUUGCCGUGAGCAUUGAGCAGUCGCCAUGAAUGAAUGAAUGCAUUAUUAUUGAUUUGUUUGAGAUGAAGACCGCUCAUGGCAAUUGGCAAUACAUUCCAUGUACCAAAGGAGAUGAAUCUGUAUCUUUCCUCUCUAUCAAUUUCCCCAACACUUUGCUUUCAACGCAUUCAUAUAUAUACCUAUCUACCUCUUUCUUUCUUUCUUUCUUUCUUUUUUUUUUUUUAAAAAAAGCUACUCCGCAUAACAUCCAGUGAUAGUUUAAUGGAAGUGAAAUUACUAUAUUAAGGAAGGGUGGGUAAAGAAAUUCUUUUUUUUGGGUAGUUAUGGUUCUUAAGAAAGAUAAUUAAAUAAAAAUUGUCGACUGAAAAAUAAUUCGUUACGCAUAAUUGAAGCAUCGACAGAGGAUAUCCGAAUCAAGCCCAACUCCGUAAGGAAUUCCAGGCUACCCAUCACAGGCAAUUUGGGGCAAUAUCCGAAGUAGGCCCAACAGCGACGUGGCUGGAACAUUUCCUCAGGGUAGGCCGGGCCUGGACUUAAACCAGAUGGAGGAUAAAUCAGUAAAUUCAGUGAGCAGCUAGGGUUUUGGGGCUCUCGUAUAAGAGAGCAAAAGUUUCAGUCGUCGUCUCCGUUUUCACUCUCACGACUCUCAACUGCGGCCUCGGCUCUCUCUCUCUCUCAACCUCCGUCAUCCCAGGUUAGUUGCCAACUCUCUCCCUUUAGCCUUCCCUCUUCAUUCAUUAUUAUUCGUAUAUGAGAUUUGCAAAUGUGUUUAAAGUUAGAGCCUUUAAGCUCUUAAGUAUGAAUUUUUAAAUUGGUUAGAUGGCUGCUUAUUAAACAAUGGUUUUUUUUUUAAUGUUUUGGGUUGCUGAGGUUGUUUUGGAAUUCAGUGGAAACUAACUCGUGGAGAAAGGUUAUUUUGCUGGACCAGAAGCAUGAGAUGAGGAAAUUGCAUAUUGUGAAAUUUAUCUGUUUGGAUUUUGCUUUUCAAGUUGUAAUGAAAGGCUAGAUUAGUUGAACAUUGUUGAAUUGGAACUUUAACUUAAAAAAAAAAAAAUUUUGGACACGCUUUUGCUGAAAUGAGCUUAAAAAAAUGAAAGAAACCCAAAACAAGUGCUACAAUUAGUUGUUUUUGUCCCAUGAAGAGGAUGCUCUAUACUUGUUUUCUGUGUUUUGGAUAGUAGAAAUGCUCCUUUUCUUUUACAUAGACGUUCAUGAGAGCGUGAUUUAUUCUGUUUUUAUUACCACUCUGUAUAUAUUAGAAGCAUUAAGUGAUGCAUAGUAAUUCUUUUGAUGUUUGGAUCAGUUUUCCUGUGUGCAGGUUUUAUGCUACAUCUUACCUUUCCUUCACAUUCUGUUUUGGCAGGUUUUAGUCGUUGUUUAAAAAUCGAAGGCAACAAUGUCGGGGUAUGUGUAUAUGAUUUUUCAGUUUGGCUUUUCUUUAUCCUCUGUUCUGCUCAUACUUUAAUGGGAAAUGCUCUGGAUUGUCUUCGGUUGGGGUUUUUGAUUAAACUUUUUAACUCUUGUUGUUUUCUUUUCUCAAUAUUUUGGUGGACUUAUCUAAACUAUUAAUUAGUUCUUCUAAGUGUUUUGUUGCACGUAACCAGUUUGGACUAGUGCUGCCUUUUUCGGUUUUGUCUUGGCACUCGAUGAUGAUUUUACUUUUCAGUAUGGAAAUUAGGAUACUGAUUAUCAUUUGAAGGACCAGGAUCUUGAUUCUUUGAACUUUGCUUAGAUGGUAAUAUGUCAAGUGGAAAGUAUAGCUUGUUUCCCGUGCUGGUUAAUCAUUCAUUUUAUGCCUUCCUUCUGUUUCUUUUUCUUAUUUAUCUUUUGCUGGCUCUAUGUUUUCCUGCAUCUGGGUUUCAUUGUGGUUUGGAUGGCUGUUUAUCUUUCAUUCUUAUUUCGGAAUUCUUAUUUCGGAUAAAGAAUGCUGUCUUCUUAAUUUUCUUUGUUUUGUAUCUUUUAUGUUGCAGUGAAGAGCAGCCAGUUGCUGUAGAGACUCCUGCUCCUGCUCCUGCUCUUGGGGAGCCCAUGGACAUCAUGACUGCUUUGCAGUUGGUCUUGAGAAAAUCAUUGGCUCAUGGUGGCCUUGCUAGAGGCCUUCAUGAAGGUGCAAAAGUGAUUGAGAAGCAUGCUGCUCAGCUCUGUGUAUUGGCUGAGGACUGCAACCAGCCAGACUAUGUUAAACUAGUCAAAGCACUUUGUGCAGAUCACAACGUGAACUUGAUUUCUGUUCCUAGUGCCAAGACUCUUGGUGAAUGGGCUGGUGUAAGUAAAUAUAUGCUGUUGGAUUUUGAGGAUUAUGCUUUUUGUUUCUUGAUUAUCCUUCCCACCCCACAACUCUUCCUGAAUAUAAACUUGUGUAUCCUAUAGCUUUAGUUCUUUAAGAUCUUGAAAUAUUUAAAGCUACUUGCACAUACAAAGAGCACUCAUACAGGCACAUUCUCUUGGUGGAACAAAAAAGCAUGGUUAGCAAAGUAGGCUUGGCUGUUUGUUUCAGCUUUUUAUACAUAUUUAUGGUCAAAACAUGCUGGAAACAUUAUAUUUGAACAUUUGAGGACUGAUCAGUUAGAAAGGUAGUAUUGAGGCAUUGGACACUUUGUGAUGGAUUUGUUCCUUUUAUGUGGAAAGAGGAAAAUUUGUUUUUUGUACUUGUGAUGUGUCUUAAACUUGUCUUUUACUUUUAUCGUGUGAGAUAUGGUGCUGUAGUUUCACUUGUUUUUCCCCUCUGUAUACAGUUGUGCAAGAUCGACUCCGAAGGGAAGGCAAGGAAGGUUGUGGGUUGCUCCUGCGUCGUUGUAAAGGUAAAGAACGAGCCUAAUGUUUUUUGCGUGUUUGGUGUGAAGAUACGAUGCUUAAUAUGAGCCCCAACAUUUUCUUUUGCUUUCAGGAUUACGGAGAGGAAACGGAGGGUCUGCACAUUGUUCAAGAAUAUGUGAAAUCUCACUGAAAAAACUGGACGUUGUCUGGGAUUUUUUCCAAACAGAAAGCCUAGUUUCAGUUUGUUGUUAAAGAGCUUCUCUUAGAAAAGUUUUGUUAUUCAAUGAGAACCAAACUACCUUUUUGGAGCUUAACAGAUUUUGAUAAUUGAGAUGCCAAGAGUUGCUUCUUAUGUAUGUUUCACACUGCUACAGAUUGUGGCUCUUUAUUAGUGCAGCUUGUUUUUAAUCAUCAUGGUCUUUAAUACGUCUGGGGAAGAAUUUGACAAGAAGUCUUCCGACUUAGGCUAGCAGUUGAUUAUCUAUCCUUAGUUCUCGUGGUGAUGAUGAUGUCUUUGGUUGAAUGGUGGGUGUUAAUUGCUUUCAGUAACGAAGUAAUAAUGUUUAAUAUGAUCGGUUGUUGGUAGUGCCUUGUAGAAGUUUUAGCGCUGAAGAAGCAAGUCUCUAAGGUAUGGAAGAUGAAAAUUUAGGCGUUUAAGUUUUUUUUUUUUAAAUUAAGAGAACAGUAAAGUGUUCUUGUGCUACGUUGGAAUUACAGCGAACUUCACUCAGUGCUUCAUGCUGCCGAGCCUCCGUAUGUUACUUCUUUUUCACCGAAAUGCGUAUGUCACUUCAGAAUUUCUAUGAUUCAAAGCAAUUAAUAAGAGAAGGAAGGAAUAAUAUGCAGAACCCGUGGGUUAGACAUCUUAAUGAAACUUUCUUUUUCGCCGUUAGAGGAUGAGAUCAUAUAGCCGGCUCCCCAUAGUGUGAUAAACAUGAAGCCAGUUAAGCAUCAUCAGUCGAUGGCAAUUUAUACGCGCAACUGAAUACCAUAAGCGGGUUAUUAUAGGCAACAGAAAAUAAAACGGAUCCACCCAAAAGGAAAAUACACACACAUAUAUAUAUAUGUGUGUAUGUAUGUGUGUAUAUGCAGAUAGUAAUUAAUUGUUCAGGAAGGUCUCAAAAGUCAAGACCAUCUCCCCGAAACAAAAUACGGCUUCAACCAAGUUUACACGGAAGAAGACACAAUCUUCUUGUGCAUCAUCAUCAUUGAUGUUGUAUUUUCCAGAAUUCGACCUCUGUAAUUGCUAGUCGGACCUGAAUUCUGCAUCUGAAAUCACCAACUUCGAUGACCAGGACUAACUAAUCAAUGUCAAGAUAUGUCACGGUUCUUGAGGGUACUCACUGGGUUCGGAAGUUCGUAUUUCACACCUAACUAGUUGAAAGAGAUUUAUUUGUUGCAUUAUUUGUAUGUUCAAGAUUAAACAGUGUAUAGAAAGACUCUGACAUGCAGUGAAUAUUUGAAUACUUGCAGUUUAUGAAGUUCUAAGGGUUCAUUGUUUUUUAUUUGAAUGGCUGAAGGAACAAAAUUCAAAUUUUCUACUCCAACCAGUAACAUAAACGUUGGACGAGGGAAUUUGGGUAGUUUUCCACGGUAGAUUUUAGCUUUCACCAGAAGCAAUUCUUACGCGCAUUAAUCAUGUUAGCUUUCUGUAAGCAGUUAAUGUACUAUAUACAAACCAGAAGCAUCAAACUGAAAACCUUCGGCCCCGUUCGUUAAUUACAAAUGCUUUGGGAUCAAACGCACGAGUGCGGAAGGGGAGCCUCAAGUAGUAACCAAGAUUACAAGCGUACAUCUGUGCGUGUAAUGCGCUUAAAGAGUUCAACAAUGCAAGAUUAUAUGGUAGAGAGAGCUCAAAAAGAGCACAGAAUCAUGAUUUGAUUCUUAUCUACAGCAAACUUGACACCACCGGAAAUUUGAAAGGACGAUAAAUUCCUGGAGUUCCACAUGAUUGUUAAUAGUGCAUUACUCUAUAUAUUGGUUCAAAAUCUUAAACACUUGCAGGAAAACGGGCCCUCUGAUACAACUACAAUUCUGAACCUCAUUUGGAACAAAAACAGCAAAUGAAGAGACAUUUAAAUGACAUGUAAACGGAGCAAGUUAAAAAAGGUUUGGGCAGGGAGGUGCAGACGCAAGAAUUCAGAAAAACUAAGGCAUAUUAGUGUCAAAGAACUCUAAAAUCAUGACGAUGCAUGCUUGCUUUCAGCUACUGGGAGGUACACACCCUCUGCCGCCAACCAAACAUUAUCAGGGCGCUUCUCCCGAACACCACAAACCUGCAGAAUAGGCAAAGAAGCUGUCAAGGAAGGGCAGAUUAAGGGAGAAGGGGCAUUUAGCCUUUGGAAUUUUCCAGAUGCAAGAAUGAAGAUACAAAUCAUCCUUGUAAAGAGCUAAGUUUGCAAUAUAUGUAGCUCUCACCUCCUGCUGGCCCCCUGCUAUGCGGGUGUAUUUCUUAUCAUGACUGUGGAGGUAUCCACCUGUAUCUACAUGGCGAAGCCUCACCCGCUGAUCUUGCCUCCAGCUUUUUCCGUUUCCCUCAAUUUCAAGCCUACCGAUACAGCAUGAUGACUAAAUAUCAAUAAUUUUUAAAAAAAAAGAUAUAAUAGAAAAUCUAAGGAACUCAAGUAUCACCUCCAAAAGUCUCCGGUGUCAGAUUCACCAUCGCUGCCAAAACAACUGACCUGCAAAAUUUGUUUAACAGAUUACUUACAGCCUUUAUAGUGUCAACACACUAAGUCCAAAAUGGAGCUGAUUCUAAAGCACAAAAUAUUUCUCCAUCUGUGAUAAGACACAUUAAAUUGGUACAACUUUAAGCAGGCUCCCUGUAAAUUUAAGUUGAUCCAUCAGACUCAAAAUAAAUGAUUAAAUUGUAGCCUGAAAGUAAUAAACCAGAAAACUUGUAGUCAUGUCAAACUACUCUUCAAGUUCAUUCUUUUGCUUCUACUAUUUUCCUGUUUUGCUUGGAAUUCACUCCCAUGCUUUUACAAGUGAUAAAGUUAAUAUAAAAGCAUUCCUUGUUAUCUGCAAGGCAGUAUGACUACCCAAUUGAAAAGAACAGGAACCUCAAGGGAAAGAUUAGAGCAAACACAGACAGAGGAACUUAAAACACUGUGUGUCUUUUUCCUUUUGGGAAUUGGGGUAAGGAUGCGAGCUUUACUACAAGCAGAGUCGUUCUUCCUCUUUAGUCUUGUCCGUUUGUAGCAAGUGCAGGCUGAUUCCAGGUAGGUCCAAAAGGAUGCCUUUUUAAUCAAGUGCCGGUUAUGUAAACUAUGAGUGAAUUAAGACCAAUGGAACAAGAGUUUAGGAACUUUCUUGCACAAGAUAAACUGGAGGUUUCUUGAAAAGACUCCUAUAACUUCAAUUCAGGGACACAUCUGUAUUUGACAUGUGAAUGAGAGAUUGUGAUACUAACAUGAUCAGCUGCACAUUCUACAAGUUCAUAAACAGCUCGAGCUACACAAGUCAGUCUUACAACAUUAACAAAGCCAAGGACACACCACUACUUUAUACGUCAAAAAGAACCAUUAAACAUCAUGUUCAACUUGGACGAGAGAAGCUACAGAGAAAAAGUAGGUGGCUGACCUCCAUAUUGCCAGAGAUGGGGGAUGCAUGCAAGUGGCUAUGUAACCAUUUUCUGGUCCUCAUGUGUUGCAGCUUGAUGAUGGUACCACCUUUGAUUGUAUCCCCUUGUUGGGCAUUGGUAUCUGGUACAGGUCUAACAAUCUACAAGCCAAGUUUAAUUACGUUAACCUUUACCUAACCUUAGAAAAUUAUGAUGAUCUAGAAAAAAUAGAUAGUAGAAAAAGAAACAUACCCAAUAGCUGUUUGAGUCAUCAACGUUGGGAAAACCAGUGACGGACUGCUGCCCACUACCAGAGCCAUAUGGUACAUCAUGCGAAUGCAGCCUAAACUUUGUUCUUUCAUGCAUCAACUUGAUCACUGACCCAUAAGUAAUCUACCAAAAUCACAGAUGCCGAACAAAAUAAGAAUGACUUAGCACAAAGCCCCAUUAUACAACUAUUAGAACUCAAAGCAUCAUACACCCAUUUUUAAUUUUCGCCACACAAUAGAAACCUCAAACUAUAAAAUAGGAAAAAAAAUCAAAUUUAAUUCAUUAAUCAGCUCUUUAAAAAAUCCAAAUUGCAAUUUUUGACUGACACCCAGCUAGAUUUUCAACAAAGAUUGUCGAGGCAUUUCAUCAAACAUGUCGAAGGCUAUUACUAAUUCUACACAAACAACUCCAUUUCCUCUUUCCCUGUCCUCUUUUAGCUUAGAAGCCUCUGAAACGCUAGAAUUUAUAUCCAUCACAUGCCUAUAAUAGCAAAAACUAGGUCAAAAUUUUGAACCAAAAACAACUAUAAAUCAACUUUCCGAGUACAGUUUCAACAAAUAGGGGGAAAAAGCACACACACAAAGAUGCACCGCAUAUCUGUGCAACUACAGGAACGCAAAAACCACGAAUUUGAAGUAGUAAGUGGGCUUUCGGUUUACCUGGACGCCUUCGGAAGCGGCAGAGACAGGGGAAGAGGUGAAAUCGGAGUCAAGGGUAAGAAAAAGGAAAAUGGCGAGACCGAAAAACGAGAUUGCCAUUAGUAAAAGUAAGCCAAUGAACCAGGUAGUUUGCCAAAAAGGCAAAUUGAGAUCGGACUUGGAAGACGAUUCUCGAUAAACUAUUCGAGUCGGGGGGGAAAUUUGUUGAGCCGAAUUCGAAGAAGAAGAAGAUGAUGACCCGGAAGUGGGUUUCCUUCGAGAGAGAUUUUGUUGCUGUUGGCUGCCUGAGGGAGCCACGGUUGAAGCUUUAUGGAAAUCGGAGCUCCAAUCACAGGCUCCGAUGCUUGGAAGAUCCUAAUGAUGAAGAUGAAGGCGGGGCUAAUCGCAACCGGAAUCGUUUUUUGUUUUUGUUUUAUUUUGAUUUGAUUUUUGUUUUUUGCUUUUACAGUUCUUUUGCCUACUGAGCUAAUGAUAAAUUUCCAGUGCCACUCGUGCUGAGUCAUCAUGGCGAAUUCCAAUUCGCCAAGUGGAGAUCGAGUGACGUGGCUAAAUACAAUUGGAUGACCAGUAAGUCACCUGACGUGUCCCUGGCUUCGCGCUACUGUGGACUUUUUUUUCUUUCUGUUGCUUUUAAUAAUUUCCUUAAUCAGCGAUGCAUUAGAAAUUUCUAAAAGAAAACUUUCAAAAUAGGAAUUAAAAAGAAAAGGUUUUCCAAAAGAAAAUUAAUUCAACUGUAGAUAAAAAAAAAAAGAGACUAAGCUCGAACCUUGAUUUUUCUAAGGGUGCAUAAUAUAGCUCAUGACAUAGAUGGUUAUUAGUAAUAGCAAAAUUUUACUUAAAAUGUUCAAAUUCAUUUCCCCAUUCUAUUCGUAAUAAUUUUUGGGUCUCCAGUAGCAAUGCUGCAUAUUAUAGUGCUCACUGAAGUUUAACAAAUUAGCCAAAAAUUUUUUUUUUUAAUAAUUAAAGAAAACCACAAAGAAUGGAAAAGGACCAAAAUUCACAAGAAUGAUCCUUGAUGCCAAAAGUUCAAUCAAUCACAAACUAAACCCCGAUAGGUAAUUAGUAGGCCAUUAACAGCACAUCCAAGGAUCAUGCACAAUGCUCGUCUAUAAUCUUCCAGGCUUUGAUGUCAAGAUUAGUGUUGCUGGCUGCCCCCCGCACCAAAAAUGCACGGCCAGUUAGGCACAAAAAUCUUUUGUCAUCUGCAGCAUCUUGUGAGUUGUGAACGUAGCUCGUCAACUUAUUUGCAUAGAACUGCAAUAGAUACAUGGAAAGCAAACCAAUUAGUAGGUUUAUUGGCAAGGAGCUAGCAGAAGAAUCAAGCUGGUCUAAUGUCCAAAUUGACGUCUUCUUGCAGAUUUUUUUUUCCCCGCGUAUUGUAAUUGAUGGAAAUUAAGUUGAAGGUCUAGUCCCUGCUUUAUGCUCCUGGCACGGUGGACCUCUGCUUGCUCUAACAAACCGUUCCAAGCACAGUUGUAAAAUCAGAGAACAUCUGAACUCCUAGUAGCCGUCUCUUUAAUUUCUCCGCUUCCUGUUGCUGUGAAGCUGUGGACAUUCUUGAAACUGUUGCAAAGUUCAGCUGCUUCAUUAUCUUGUAAGACCCAGGCUUCGAUGCACCAGCAGUCACUGAAAUCUUAAUUUGAACUCCUUUUGAGUACCAUUAAGUGAGUCUAAUAUGCUACCACUCGCAUGCCGGAUUCUCCAACGUGGAAGAAAUGCCUUAAUUACAGAUGAAAGAGAUGGCUUCUAAAGCCCCUUCUAGCCUGGAACGAGAAAGGGAAAUGAUGUAAUGAUACUCUUCACUCCAUAUAUAUAGAUGGCCCGCGCAAUGUUUCAUUUUCUUGUCAUUCUUGUUCCAUCUUCACUCUUUGCCACAGAUCACUUCACCGGUUUCCUCUUGGUUAGCAGCAGGAGAUCAUUUAACAAGAAUGUCCUUUGCUAGCUACUGUGCUACAUCCAAAAGGAACACGAAAACAAGAUUUGUACAUAGGUGUGAGAGUGUGGCUAUGGAUUUUUCUAGUACGCAAGGCUUCUACGAAAUGUUAAUUGAUUAGAUUAAUUAUCAAUUCUCGUCCAAAGAAUUCCAAUUAAUUAAUUGAUGAAGCUUAUGCCUUGGAAUUGUUGCUUUGACAUGCCUUGGAAGAACAAUUGCACCUAGCAAUCAGUAUAAUUGCAGUUCGUCUUGCUUUGACAUUUAAGUUUUACCAGUAUAACUGCAAUUGCACCUAGAACAAUUAAUUCCUACUGCAUGCUUUGACAUGCCUGUUGGUGAAUGAAAUCGUAGUAGGAAUUAAUUGAACCUCGGUAUAAUCCACGAACUUCAAGCUCAGGGAAGCUAAGUGUUGAAGCUUGUAUUGAAGUCUGGAAGAAGUUAACGGGCAUAUACGAUUUUCACAUAGAAAUUCAGUGAAAUAUGCGUAAUGCUCUGGCGAAACAAGCAAGUAUAAGAAGUAUCAUUCAUUCCCUCAUGUUUCUAUGGCUCCAGCAAAACAUGACAGUUAAAACAUUUAUUGGCAUGUUGAAGUGAAAUCCAAACGUGAUUAUUGAGUCACUAAAAGAAGUUUAGGUUUUGGUGACUUAUAAGAUCACUACAAGCCACAAAAACUUCAACCGGUUUGUUAUUUAGAGAAAAGCCAGCAGGGGACAAUGUGGUACGAUUAUUUCUCUUCCUUCAACUGAUUUGUUAUUUAGAGCAAAGCAGAUAUAAUUUUGUUUCUUGCUGCAUCCAAAAAUUCGUACCUCACUUCUGUUGUAAUACUGUCUUGCUCAUCGUGUUUGUGGAUGACGGAGAUAUGCAUCGCAUGGACUUCCUUAAUGUUGCUUUCCUUCAUUUUGUCCACAAUAUGAGGUGUAUGAAAAAGAUCAUCUUCCUGUAACUUCACAAUAAAAUUUGAAGGUGUACAGGAAGAUAAUCAGUGUGGAAUGUCCCAUUUGGAUUGUUAUUUUCUGAAUCUUUUAUAUAUAAAAAAACAUAUACUGCAACGAUUUGAUGUAUGUAAUGUAAAACAGUAAUUAACAAAUAUGGAAAAAAAAAAGUAAAAAUUUUUCUUUGAAAAUCUCCUAUCCAAACAAACUUAAUAGUGUUUUGAGCAAGUGAGAAUUCUUGUAGUGGUUCUGCAUGGGCCACUCUAAAUUCGUCUUGCUGCAUUACCUAAUUUUGAUUUCGUGAUCGCGAGUUUGAUUUUGUUUGGAGCAAGUGAAAUAUGAUGUUUGGAAUUGAAGAUUUUCAAAGUUCUUGAAUUGACAACAUCUUCUUUCUUUGCAUUCUAGAAAAAGGCAAACCAACCCUCAAAAAAGAAGAAAGAAGGGGAGGAACAAAAGGGGGGAAACCAGGAAGCAAGUGAAAGGUAGUCUACUGACUUUCCACAAUUUUAUCGCUGGUGGUCUACAACUGAAAGCAUAUUAUCCCGGAAUCAGGUAGUUUAGAUUUCUACGCAUAUGCCUUUAAGGUGUUCUUUAGGUAGACACAAGAAAAAAUCAGCCAAGGAUUGACAUGUAUCGUAAACAAAGCGUUUAUCUUUUAUCGUAAAUGAAGAUUACUUGUGAAAAACAAGAAAUGGUGGUGGUAUAUUUUUUAUGAUUGUGGACAUCGAUUUGUGUUUGACUAAUAUUAUUACAAGUCCCAAAAGCUUUUCAAGGAUUGGGGGUCCGUCGGCGUCCACCAUUAUUAUUACCUAAAAGAGAAAACAGCAAACAGUUCCCACAAUCGGAAAAAACAGGAUACAAAGGUGGAGGAUCCAUUUUAUUAGCAUUUAAUAAAUGUAAUCAUGUGGAUAAAAUGGCUCUUACAUUUUCAUUUCUUAUGCUAUAGAAGAAAAGGAAAAGUUGCUAAAAUAGCACCUUAAUGAUCUGAAAUCCCCAGCAGUUUAAUUUUAAUUAGUGCUCAUGCAUGUUUUUUUUUUUUUAGCACCACCUGAUGGAUUAACUCUAAAAAGGUAUAACUUGAAAAUUCAUUCUUGAUGUUGUCUUCUUUCUCCAUCCUCUUUUCUAAAGGAUGCGGAAUCUAUUCUGUCAUUAAAUUCUUUAGAUCAGCCAGAAAUGCACAAACGAACUGGCAGCUGGCAACCACAACGCAAAUUAAGCUCCCUCCCUAGAUAGCUAAGGUGGAUUUAUUAGUGCAUGAAAAUUGGAUUUGCCAUUUUUCCACUACGUUAAUUAACCAGAAGCGACUUUAAUUUACUUGUUUACGUUUAUGUAGAUUAAGGUAUAUUUAUGCUGCUUCAUGGACAGAAGGAUGAGGAACCAGGGAGGAGAGGAGAAAAGAAAACAAAGAAAGUUAAGGGGAAAAAAAAAGAAAUUAAAAGAAACAGAGAGAGGGAAAGAAACCCUCUAAAAAUUUAAUUAUAAGUCAAAUAUUAUUGAGAACUAAAUUGUAGUUCGUACAAAUUUUGUUGGUUAGUUUGCCUCUCUGACCAACAACGUUAAUUGUCAAAAAAAAAAAAAAAAAACAAGAGCUAAUAAAUACUGGGAGUUUGUUAAAUUCAGGAUUCAGAACACGACCAAAGUCAAUGUGGGGAAGGAGAGCUUUAGGCGUAGGUGUAACUACAAAGAGAAACUUCCCCGAACAUGGUUGAAAUUUUCUAGCUAAGGUUGUUGCACUUAGAUUAUGCAUUGAAUUUUUUUCUGGAAGACUGGAACUAACUUUAGAUGACAAGUCCGUGUAAAUAAUGAGCCAACAUAAUUAAAUUUAUUUCGCUCAAGAACCUGCUAUGAAUAUGCUAAUUAAGGUUUUCUCAAAAGGGGAAAAAAAAAAAAAAAGAACUGGUGAAUAAUUAGUUUUAAACCAGAACACUGGAUUCCUAGUUUAUUGAAUGUGAAAGCCAAAUUUUGCACCAGUUUCCAACUAAAACCCUCUAGCCUUUGCUGUCUGAUUGUCACGAUACAGUUGAAAUUGAAAUGUCAGAAACAGGUGAUUGGUGUUCGUCAAAGAAGGUAGCAACUACAAAAAAAAAAAAAAAAUUUCCCCGUUUCUUUUGCCCUUCUUUUCUUAACCAGUAAUCUUACAUUAAGAAAACAUCGAUCAGCUAGCACAAGAACGUACGUAAUUUUCAAAAUUGGCAAACUGAUUCGGUUCGAGUUUAGUCCAAGUGCUAUGGAUAAGAGGGGGCUGUUGUAAGCGUUUGUUUCGUCUGAUGUUCUUCAAUUGACUUGAGAAGCCGGUUAAGAGGUCAUCGAAAAUGACCAUUUUUUGAGGACCAAGUCAUUCACAGAUAUGAAAGAAAUGCCAAAUGCAGACUUCUUAUGUCGAUUGAACACAGAGUUGGUGAAGUAUUUCAAUCAAAUGCAUUUGGAAAGGAGUGAACCGGUCACGCGGUUUGAAUUUUUUUCUCUUGCAGCCGAAGUAAUAAGAAAUAGAAGGAACAAAUUAACGGUGGGAAGAUAAAAGUUGGUACCGUUUGACUCUCAAGUAGAGUUCACAUAUGGGUACUCUUGUAUUAGAAUCAUUAAAUUCCACUACGAGUAUGAGUCUUAAUGAUUCUGUUUGGCUUAGAACCGGGAUAGAUUUCAUUCAGUCAAUGAACUAAUCGAUUUGAGAUUCAAAUAGUAAGCGUGGAAUGAUAAGGGCAAAACUAGCACUUUCAUUGCCAUUGCAGGAUGCCGAACAAUAGGUAUAGGUGUUAUUAAUUUUGACACCCAUUUCUUACGAUUAUUCAUAACUGUUUACCAAAUCCCCCUACCUAAAUCUAGUAACCUAAAUUUAGACUUCUAGGUUAUGUUCAAGAACUUGAUUCUUCAUUUCUCUCGUCCAAAUUUCUUUUUUAAAAUUUUUUCCUUGUGUGGAAGUAAAUUAAGAAGCAUGUUGUCUACUUUAAACCCGUCAGCAAUGUUUACAUGUCACAUAUUUGUGAAUAAAUUCAGUGCACAACAUUUCUUUUUGCUACAACAACUAUUACUGCAAGGAAAAUAGCCUGCGAGACACCCUCUUAACCCAAUAUUUGCCGUCUUACUAUGAGAAAGAUUUGUGAUGAUUUACAUCAGAUUAAGGCAAAAGUGCUUUGCGUAUGAGAGAUAUGGAAGCUGAUACAAAGCAUUGAAUCAAAGAAGUUUAGCGUAAUUGAAAUAUAAGGUUAAGCACUAAAACUGGGCUGGACAUGCAAGGCAAUAAUAGGAUCCUCUCGUUAUGGUCUUCUGUGACUGCCGUAAUCUUGAUUCUUGAUAACGGAAGAAAAAUAAUACUUCUGUUUAUGAACAAACUAGUGAAAGCGAAGGCAAUAACUUCUGUUUAUAUCUAGAAUUCCAAUUGGGUCUUUUGAUUUGUCAGAGUUGCAUCAAUUAGGAGUUUUGGGCAGCAUUCUAGGGAGUGGUCUUAAACCCCAUGAUUGAUUAAUGUGCCAGGAUUCAAACUUCUGAUUCCAUACACAUACAGGAUGAAAACUAAUACGCUACUAUUGGCCAAUGGUCGGACUGUUUUAUCCACGUUAGGAAAGAUGUUUAAUGCAAACCCUAUGCAAGUAGAAACGUUUUGUACCAUUAAUUUUUAUUUGUGUGCAUAACCAAAAAAUGAUGGGCUUGGCUUGCUUUGCCUAAUUGGUUCUAGAAUUUCUCUGCCCUCAACUGUUGUAACUCGUAACCUGGCUGGAUAUUUGAUAUUCUUUGUCAUUUCUAUUAUUACAAAAGAGUAAAUCUUAUAUAUACUGACGGUGUAUACAUUAUCGCCGUUGAAUUCAUGAUAUGUAUGUAAAAAUUGAAUUUCAAAUUCAAAUUUUGCAUAGUUGUCAUUCAUCCGACGCUGACGAUUGUCGUUUACGCAUAAGGCGGUUAACAAGCCCGAAUGUGAGAUUCUGGUUCUGUAAAUGGCAAUUUUGACUUAGAUACACUACAAACUGGACUGAGUGGUCUUCAUCAAAGUUGUAGACCUUUAUCUUAGCUUCGAAACGGUAUAAAUUUCACCCCAAUCUGAUAAGCGUAGAUUCAUUUGUGUCCGUUACGCAAAACAACGUCAAAUCUAUUUUUUGUUUCUUGACUCAACCUUCAUUUCCGCACAUGCUCCUAGCUUGAUUUUGUACUUGUAUGACUUGGAGCCUAUGGAAUGGCUAUUGAAAUGAGAUGAUUUUGUAUAUGACUUUGGGUUUGAUUGAGCAAAAGAAUGAAACCAUAAAUGGUUAGAAAAUAGGUAAAUACAAAGGGCGUGCUGCCCAAAUUUACGCUCGAGAACUAGGUCGAUAUACUUGCGACUUGAGUAAGGCUUGAGAGCGAAUAUCACGUGAACCAUCUAGGGUAUUUAUGUUUUCUUUGCCACUUAGACUCAAAUAGUGAUUUUAAAGUUUUACAAGUGAGUCUAAAUUUUACAAAUAUUUUACUUAUAUCUUUUGAUUUCAAUGUACUCUUUUCACUACCAAAACCAUAUUUAUACUUUGUACUAGUACGUAUUCGACUUGUCUUUGACUCACUUACAUCUUUGAUGGUUGAAGUAUAAUGUGUUCGUUUGAUUAUUAGGGUUCCUUGGUGAUUGAGAGUAUUAUCCGAAAGGAAACUUUGGACGUUAUUUUGCUUAAAUAGGUGAGUUUUCCUUAUUGUUAUGUUACCCUUGACUAUAUGCCUUGUUCCAUGUUAUGGAUAUUUGAUUGAAUGUUUGCAUGUUAAAUGCUUUCAAUGAUUGUUAAAAACGAGUUUUUUAGGCGAGUGUGUACUUUAUCGCACUCGACCUAAAUGAAUGUGAAAUUUUCAAUGAUUGAAUAAUUAUAUAUGCAUGAAUAUAAGCCACUGGCCCUGCCCUUCGUUACUGAUCGAGUCGAGCCAGAAACGGAUUCGGUUGGGCAAUUUAGUGACCCUAGGUGAACGUUUGGUAUACUCAAAUAUUACCUUGUUAUCGGGUGGAGUCCGGCCAACGUCCGAAAGGGGGUGAAAUGAAAUGAAUAAACGAGUGGCAAUGAAUGAAAUGAAGGGUUUUACUUAUCAAAAUGCAUUUUCAAAUAAUUGGAGAAAUAAGAGAAAUGACAGGAGAAUGAACGAACGAACGAACGAACGAAUGGCUUCUUGUGAGCCCGUAUCCUUUUAAUGAAUGUGUUAUUAUUGCUUUCCAUUGUAAAUGUUUCUUGAACUAUUGAUACUCUAUGAUUUAUAUAUUUAAUUGAUUGUUUGAUUAUGUGUUCGGAACCUCACUGAGUUUUUAGCUCAUUCUUUUAGUUUUAUUUUCCUUAACAGGGAACGGCGAGCAGGAUGAGAGCUCUGUAUAGAUUAACCUAGUCUAGUUCUUUGAUUUUGUAAUGGUUUUCGUCCUAGUGCUUUGCACGGGUUGGAUGUGUGGUGAAUUGAGAACCUUUGUAUAUUUGAUGUUUGUACUCCCUUUUGAGAUAGUGAUGUACAUAAGUUUUGCUUUAAAUUUUGGAUCGUCGUUAUAUUUAUUUUUGUGGGUUUAUUCUGAUUUUGUUUGAGGGUUGAAGUGAACGACUGAGUUUCGACGAGAGUUGGGCAGGCGGUCCGCCGAACCCUUUGGUUCACCUUAGGGGGAGGUGGGGCUGUCACAAUUACUGUAACACUUUUUGAAUUUUACUUACAAACAUUUAUAUAUUUAUCAUAAAUUAAUAUUUGAGAGCCGGUACAUUAAAUGGGUAAUGCGUAUUUACUCAUAAACUACACCCCUUAAAGUUUAUUAAUUAUUAAUUGAUUUGUAGUACUUUGUCAUUCAUUGGACAUGUAGCACAAAAGGUAAAUUCGCUACAAAAUUCUAAUUUCACUCCCUAAAAUAAUAUUUUAAUCGUUUGGACUGAAUUUGCAAAGGAAUAGUAAGUUCAGGGGAGGUCAAUGCAAUAUUUCAAACCGCAUGGGAGGUUAGUGCAAGUGUUAGAAAUCUCAUGGGAGGUUUCUGCAAUUAUCCCAUAAAAGAUUACAUAGAAAGUACAUGUACGAGGAACUAAGAAGAAAAGGUAGACAACCAUGUGUACAAAUUAAGCUGACCAUCAUGGAGAGUCAACAACAUUUGCUAGUGCAUCUUAAGUUUCAAUGGAUGCAAACAUUCUCACAAACUCCUGUCUCAGCCCAACUAAAGAUCAAUGUUUCUAUCUAGCCCUUAGAAAGUUACUGAAAUUUUCGCAUAUAACUGAGUAGAGGACGAUAUCAACAACGUUGCAAUACUUGCAGAAUGUACAUUCAAACAUUUGACAAAACAAACAUAUAUACCACACUUGUCAAUGUACCCCUCUAAUUUAUACCUACCCAGCAUGGGAAGCUGGCAAUUGUGGUGAACUCCUGAUUGAUGCCAUUGCAGAAUCUAAAACUUGGGCUUCAUCCUUAAUUUUCUAGUAGAUAUCACCUAUGUAGAAAUGUCUUGUCCUAAACAAAACAAACAAAACAAGACAUCCAAACAAUGUGGCAGCAGUUAUUAUCUCAAAAGAUCACCUGCAACAUUCCAUGCCCUGGCAUGUUAAACUUUCCCAACUUUCCUAGCAAGUCCCAAUGUUGCCAUUUGCUUCAUAGCCACCUUGUCAUAGAGAUAGCCCGCCACUCUCAACAUUCAAUAGGUAACCGCCAAAUAGGCUAGCCCCGACACCUAAAUAUUGUAAAAUGAUAUCGCUGCUUCUGCUCUAAUUGCUUAUAGUAGUACUAAACAACUAUUAAUGUGUUGAUAACUAAAACAACCUUUUCAAUAAGUUUAUGGAUUUAAGUACACGAUUAGUACUAGCUCAACUCCUCAAACAUUUAGUACAAGAAUUCUAGAAAAGGAAGAAAGAAAAAAAAAAGAAUUUGAAAAAAUUGAUUGCCGUGCUUGGGGGCAUAUUGCUGCUUUCUAAAUGAUUGGGACUGAAACACAACUAUUUAAAAUAUGAGGAACCUUUCUAGCAAUUUAUCCCAAAAAGGGCCAGUCCUCAGCUUAUGUCACUAGGGUUUAAUAAGGAUUGGCAGCCUUGUAUAUAUCUUCCCCGCUCUCUCUAUUUGUUCUCCGCAAUAGGACCGCGACUGCUUAUCGCCCCGACGGGUGUUUCUCCGGUGAGCGUUUGAGAAGACGACGUUAACAUUGCUGAUCUUUGUUUUAUUAAUUAUUAAUUUAUUUUUUUCUUAACUUUAAUUUAGAGGUUGUGCAGAGAUUUAAUACUAUGGCGGAAGAGGAGCCGAAGCCGUUGAAUUACAUACCAGAGGUGAUAUUGAAGAAGAGGAAAAACAAUGAGGAGUGGGCGAUUAGGAGAAAGCAGCAGUUGGAGCAGAGAGUUAAGAGGCUCAAGUCGGAUAAUUUCGUUAUUAAGAAGCCUGAACAGUUCAUCCGAGAAUAUCGCGACAGGGUAAUUUCGCUCUUAAUUUCUUGCUUUUAAGGUACUAAAUUUUGUUAUAGUUGUUCAAUUCGUAAUACUACCACUAUUACUUGAUCUCUGUUUCCUGUGAGUACAAAGAAGUUUGUAAUACCACUAUUAGCUUCAGAAUUGAUGUUUAACACAAGACUUUCUCCUAGCUGUCCUUUGAUUUUUUGAGCAUACCGGAUUUGGUAUUUGGAAAAUUUGAGCUUUCGAAGAUUCUUCAUGUAUUAGUCCCAAACGAGUGUGUUUACAUGAGGUUUUCUUCGUAUUUGUGAUCUGUGGCAAUGAAGUUAUGAAUGCAAAAAACUUUGGACUAUGAUCUUGUCCUUGGGAAAGCUGUAAUAAUUGAAUGCCCUUCUAUUAUGAUCUGAAAUGACUUCGUCCUCCUGUGUUGUGUGACAUAUGGGAUGUAAUCUAGUUUACCAAAUUUGAAGAACAAAAACAGCGGAAAGAGGGUAGAAAGGGGUUCUUUUUUUCAGGUUUUUUUUGGGGGGGGGGGGGGGGGGGAGUGGGAGGGGGACAAAUGAAAAUGCCAAUUAGCAGAGCAAAUGCAUCAAAUUUUAUAAAUGAUGAAUCACUUGCAUUGAAGGUUGGCAACAGUACCCAUAUAGUGAUUCUCCGUGCCUUUCAAAUUCACUCAGUUUUGAUUAUGGCCUCGAACAAAUCACUACAUUUUUCAAAUCUCCCCCACCCCCUGUCCAUGUGCAUUAGUGUUGUUAGUCAUCUGACUAUAGUCUGCAGUUGAGUUAUGGCCUUCUGAUCUAAUUCCAAUGAAUGCUAUGUCAUACAUGUUAGAGCCACUGAAAAGCUUUGAGUACUCAUUUGGUGGACAUGGCUCCCUAUAGUAUUUUGGGUUGUACCACUUCUUUUCCGUUGCUAUCCAGCAGCAGAAUGUUAUUGAGUUAUGACCUUAAAUUUCAUUGACAAACUUUUCUUCUAUCUGCCUAUAUUCUGGAUGCUUGGUUAUGAUUUGCUAAAAUUCUUACAGUGAAAUAUUGGUGUCCAUUGAGCUGCUAAUUGGGAGGGGGACAAAUGAAAAUGCCAAUUAGCAGAGCAAGUGCAUCAAAUUUUAUAAAUGAUGAAUCACUUGCAUUGAAGGUUGGCAACAGUACCCAUAUAGUGAUUCUCCGUGCCUUUCAAAUUCACUCAGUUUUGAUUAUGGCCUCGAACAAAUCACUACAUUUUUCAAAUCUCCCCCACCCCGUCUAUGUGCAUUAGUGUUGUUAGUCAUCUGACUAUAGUCUGCAGUUGAGUUAUGUCCUUCUGAUCUAAUUCCAAUGAAUGCUAUGUCAUACAUGUUGGAGCCACUGAAAAGCUUUGAGUACUCAUUUGGUGGACAUGGCUCUCUAUAGUAUUUUGGGUUGUACCACUUCUUUUCCGUUGCUAUCAGCAGCAGAACGUUAUUGAGUUAUGACCUUAAAUUUCAUUGACAAACUUUUCUUCUAUCUGCCUAUAUUCUGGAUGCUUGGUUAUGAUUUGCUAAAAUUCUUACAGUGAAAUAUUGGUAUCCAUUGAGCUGCUUUCAAUAUUUGUAUUAUCCUGCCUCUCAUGUCUCAUAUGUUGAAGCUAAUUUUAGUUGGAAAACUGCAGCUUCAGAAACCAGCGCUUUUUGUCACCUGCAUGUACUGUUGUGUUGAUAGGCUAAUAUAUUUGUCAUUUGCUGUUUGGCCAGGAGAUGGACCUUGUCCAAAUGAAAAACAGGAAGAAGCAACAUAUAAGGAGUGGCGUGAUACCCGACUCCAAGCUUCUAUUUGUCAUACGCAUAGGAGGGUGGGUAUCUAGACAUCUUAUUCACUUCCAAUUAGUCAAUACAAUGAUCUAUUAGAUCUUGUCCUUGGACAUUAAUGAGUUAAUUGGGGUGCCUUUAAAAUUGUACAUCAAUUCGCCAUUUUUUAUUUGUUUCAGAAAGAAUGAUAUGCAUCCAAACACACGGAAAGUUUUGUAUUCCUUGAGACUGAGGAGAGUAUUUAAUGGUGUCUUUCUCAAGGCGAAUGGAAGGAUAAUGGAGAUUUUGAAGAAAGUGGAGCCUUACAUCACUUAUGGGUAUGCCAAAGCUGAACCGUAUUGCUGCUGAUUCAUAUGAAGUUACAGGCUAUACCUAAUAGCAUGUGAAUUCUGUUAUGUUUUUAUUGAGUUGGACGUAUAUCUGCUCCUUUUAGAGGUCUGCUUGACAUGCUGACUUGAAACAAAUGAUUGGCUUAUCCCUGAUAAAACCUGGGGACAAUUGAUUGACUGUACUUGCUCGCAACUGCCCACCUUGAUUUGCUGCAUGUCACCUCUUUUUUGAGUUCAAUCUUCCUCCAGUUCUCUGUUAUCGUUCUUGAAAUCUAAUUGCUUGACAACUAUGUGUUGUGUAACUUUGUGAGAAUUUAGCUUUUUUUGCUGGCAAAUACAUCUGUUCUCAUCUUUACACGAGGUGGUUGUCCAAAUAACUUGUUGCAAUUCUGCAAUUUCAGUAAAAGAUUGUUAGCUGCACAUAAGCAUACUGAAUACAGGUUAUAUUUCUGUUCUUGUUUUGCGUCCGCUGGCUUCUCAGAAAUACAUGUUCACUUAUAGGUAUCCUAAUCUGAAGAGUGUGAAGGAUUUGAUAUACAAGAAAGGCGUGGCAAAAUUUGAAAAACAGAGGGUUCCUUUAACUGACAACAACAUUGUUGAACAGGUAUGAGAGAGAGAUCACUUCUUUGUUGCUUGGGUCCUGUCUGUAGUUGCUUAUUAAGAUUAGCAAUAAUGCGUUUCAAUAAAUUUUUGCAGGCAUUGGGCCAGUUUAACAUAAUAUGCUUAGAAGAUAUUGUAAAUGAGAUCACAAAUGUCGGCCCACACUUUCAGGAGGUCUCUAGUUUUCUUUGCCCUUUUACUCUCAACAAGCCUGUAAAGGCAUUGCAGGGCAAGAGGAGACGAUACAAGGACGGUGGGGAUUCUGGAAAUCGUGAGGAUGACAUCAAUGAGCUGCUUCGCAAGAUGAAUUAACACGUUGAUGGAGUUCCUUAUCUAGAUAUUAAGUCGGCGAGCUGAUUUUUUUUUUUUUUUUUUUUGGGAAUUAACCAGUUGAAGUACUUUAAAAGCUUUGGAGCAUGUAGCUGUAAUUCUUUGUUCCGUUAAUUAAGGAAUGCGUAUCAUGUAGUAAUAUAAGGAUUUUGUCUUGAAUGCAGUUACACGGUAAUAGAAUGGAAUUUAUCAUUGUAGUAUUCUUGGUUAACAACUAUACUAAUCUGAAAGUAAUGAAUGAUCGGAAAAGAAAAAUGGAGUAAUUUGUGGUCCAGUUACAAAAUGAUUGUAUGAGAAGUAAAAUUUUAAACAUAGCCUCAGGCUACGAUUGGCUAUUUUCUGCAUUCAGAAGAUGUGAGCUAGCAAGUAACCAAUUUUCGCACACAGGCCAAGAAUGAAGUAGUGAAACUUGCCCUGUAGCCGCGGCAUGUCAUUUGAAAGUGUCCGCCAGAUGGAACCUUUGUGCCGAACGAAUACGAUGCUGUGGUGUACGUUACGCCAGGAUUCGUGGACGUCCAAGCUCUUGAAGCCGAAAGCCUGAAUCAUUGCGCCAUUUAGAUUUAGGUGUACAUCAUUAUGUUGUUUGUUGUUGAACUUUGGCUGGACGGCAUGCAAACGGUUAACCUUAAUCAAAACGAAUAGCAGCUUAUACGAAUGCUCUGGUGUUUGACAUGGAACACGGUGAUGACUGGUUGGCCCUAGACAAACUCUACCACGUCCUGUUCGGCUUCUGCGCCACCAUCAUUUUCACUCUCCUUGCUUCCCGGACCCGCUACGCUUUCAUCCGCAACCGUUCAACCUGGGUUGGGUCCGUACUUGCAUUGAUGGCUGGCGCCUCCAAGGAGGUUGCGGACGAGAUGGGCUACUUCAAGUCCGCCGGUGCUUCAGCCAAAGAUGCUGUCGCCGACCUCUUCGGGACUUUAAUUGCUGUUUUUGCUCUUUGGUUGACUGAAUCAUUUAAUAUCCCGGCGGGACUCGGAUCUGAUUAUUCGGAUCAAGUUAAAAGGGUCGAGAUGGUUUGAGAUUGACCUCGUCAGGUGCAAAGAGGACGUAAAGCUGUCCACUUGUGAAGGAAUCAUCUGUCAGGUUAGCUGGAUUCAUUUGAUGGGUGUUUUUCGUUGCUCAGAAAUUCCAAAUUAAUAUGCAGUUUUCCUCAUCUUUUUGUGAUGGUUGCUUCUGUUGAUGAAGGAUGUGAAGUUCCAAAUUCGUGGAUGCACUUAACUGUAGAGGUAAUGGCUACGUGAUUUAAUCUGUAUUCUGAAUGAUUUGAUAUUUGGCCAUUUCAGAUGACUUUACCCAUUUAUUCUCUCUUUCGAAGUCGGUAAUUUUAGAUGAUAUCCUCUGUAUGCAUAUCUGUUCAUUUGGAAUUCAUAGAGGGGUCAAUUAGUUUUCAUGAAGGGGUAAAGGUGACGACUUUGUUGAUUGGUUUUCAUGAAUUUGCUACGUGACUAGCUGUUUGAUUUUUAACCUGUCUUAGAACUGAAAGUAUAUAUGCUGUGGUAAAAGUUAGAUUAUUCCACCAAUAAAGUGUGUUGUGUGUCGUUUGUAUAGACACUUCGGUGUCGUUUAUUUCACGAGGAUCUUCGGGAAUGUGCAUCCCCUUCCAAUAACAGGGCUGUUAAAGGUAAACUCAUGGUUUGGAGUGACAUAGGAAGUGAUUAUUAUUGUUAAUUAUUGUUUAAAAGUGAUACAAUUUGGGUGAAACUUGAAGGACACCUAAAUGAUGCUGCAUUGCUGUCCAUCAACGAUGUUGAUUUCGUGGAACUGCAGUGCACUUGUUUGGUUGUUACUCAUCCUCCUUCGGGAGAUGUAAACACACCAUAAACAGGAUUGACACUGAUGUAAACUGUUUUUUAAGAAAAUACUGUGGCUGACCUCAUAACAAUCAGUUGCAUCUUAGAAACUCCCAUUUUUUAUUUAUUUGUUUGUUUAGAAACUCCAUGUUAUUGGUCCAGUAUUUGUCCAUUCUUGAAAACUAGUCUCCUUAGCAUUCACAGACUUGUGCUUUAUUCAAACUAGUGAUCGAUGCACACUCGAUGUGUGUGCAAUCUUGGUACUUUGUUGCUAUUUCUAGCCAAAUCAUCAGCCUUUCCUACCUAUUUAAUCUGAUGUAACCUGAAAAUUCUGGGUGAGGUAUGGUAAAACAACGAAUAGGCUGAGAUGAGAUGUUUGGAGCAACACUUGAUCUGUUGCACUGCGUUCUGGGAUAAAUGCUGAAGCAUGUAGCUGGUCUUGUUGCAGGUGUUGUUGAGUUGCAGAAAUGGUGGCUGUGACAAUGGUUUGUUGGUCUCCUCAUGGUUGGACAGUUACGCCAUCAAGGAUUGGCUGAAGCAGCAUAACAAUCUGAGAAUCUGGUUUGGAGUUCAUACGCAGGACUUAACGAAUUGACAUCGUAUAAUCCUCCGGCUAUGUGCAUUAUCUAAUUCUGGCAGCCGAUUUCGGACACACGCAUCUGCUUUGUAAUGACUUCAAUAUCUCUACUGCUCCCCUUGAACUACAUCGCCAACUGGAUUGCGUUCCAGUGUUAUCCUUUUCCACCCUGUCCUACAAAUCUUUCAACCGCGAUAGAUCUUCAUACCCAUCGUGCAGUUCUGCAGGGAGUAAUAGAGGCCAUGGACUCAAAGGCUUCUGCAAUAGCCUCCUCUUUGGGUGGACUCUUAUGAUUCUUGUACUUCGGGGUGGAUCUAGAUACCUUUUUUUUUUCAGUUGGUUCAAUGUUUGCUAAAACGCAGAGAAUAUCUCAUCACUUUCUUAAGAAAUUUGUCAAGCAAAUGCCUUAAAUUCGUUUCUUUAAUCGUUUAAUUCCACCCUUAGCACCAAGGCUUGUUUUUGGCACGAGACAGCUGGGCCGCUCUCAAAAAUCUCCCAGAGCUUGCCUCAUCUAGCAACAAGAAGGAUGGCAAAUUGGCAAGACUUGAACUGAUAAUUUUCAUGGUAUUAAUUCUUACCAUUUUGUCACAAUGAGACAAUUCAUAGAUACAGGCAACGAUGCUAGCAAGACUCGAACUAAUGAUCUUACAAUACAGCUCUUAAAUUCUUUCAACUAAAUAAACUAGAAUUGAAAAUCUCACAAUACAGUUGUUGCUUCCUUUUCAUCUAAGCUAUGCAUAUCCUCUCAUGUGCCAAAGCAAAAAUACAAAUUUGGAAUUUUAGCCCCGUAGAAUAAUCAUCUAUUUAUGAAACAUUAUACUAGCUAGACUAUGUGAUGAAAAAAAAAAGAAAAAGCCAGGCUAUACGAUGGAUGAGCUUAAACUCUAAUUUUUCAAUUUUAUAACUCUAAUUUCGCUUUGAUGACAUUUUUUUUUUUGGGCGAAAGUAGUUCAACAGAAAAUUAAACAAAAAAAAAGGGUGGUAAGUAGGGAUGUACGCGAAUAGCUUGGUCAAUGACUUGGUUUAAACUCGAUCAAACUGAGUUCGAACUAAGUCUCGAACUACUUGAAUACACAUUCGAGUCGAGUUCAAGUCAGAAUUUUGCAGCUCAUUGGGCCGUAUAAUUUAAAUAAUAUAUAUGUAUUAUAAUUAUAAAAUAACCAUUAUGGAUAUAAUUUAUACUGAAUUUACAAGUAAGGUGUCGAGUCAAAAAAGCUUGAUUGCUCGACUAGAUAUGACUUGACUAAAGGUCGAACCUUAUCGAAUCUCGUCUCGAGCUUUUAAAGAUUUUCUCGAGUCAAGUUUGAGUUUGAGAUUUUUCGACUCAAUCGAGCUCGGGCUCUAAGUUAUUUAUAGUUCAAGUCGAACUCGAAUAUAACAAUACUGGUAAGCUCUAUAGUGGGCCUUGGUCUUUGGACUGGUUACCUAUGCUUGAAACGGCCCAAGAACAAGACAACAGUCUGAUCUGAAGUCUGAAUAGACAUAGAGAGCCCAGGGACAAUUAAGUCAAGAAAAUUAAUUAGGGUUUCUGGGAGGGUAUAAGGGAUAUAUAUUUAUUUCAGUCAUCAGUAAAGAAGCCAGCCUUCGUGUUCAUUUUCCGGAAACCAGAACAACCCUAGUUUCCGCCAGUUUCCCCCGCCCGACAGGCAAAAGAGCAAAAGCGAGAGAGGGAUUGACAAAGCAAUGGCGACUGCUACUACGCAGAAACAGCUGUCGACGAAGGAGGCCGACAUCCAAAUGAUGUUGGCCGCCGAAGUCCACCUCGGUACCAAAAACUGCGAUUUCCAGAUGGAGCGCUACGUCUUCAAGCGCCGCAACGACGGUAAAUUCCCAUUCUAUUUUAUUUUGAUCAUAUUUUAAAUUUAUUUUUUAAAUUAAUUUGUUAGUACUGUGCUAUGUCGUUACUCGUCUGGUGUAUGAGGAUCUUAUGGUAUUCUAGAUGUCUAAUCGUUCUGGUAUUAUUUGCCUUGUUAGGUUCUCACAUUUUCGGGCAAUUAUCUUUUAGUAGUCAAUUCUGAUGGUAGUGCAAGUCCUGACGAGUAUGAUGGGAUCUCAAUUUUGAAGUUAAAUUAUGGGGAAUAAAUUUCUGAUUUUAGGUGUGAGUGACAAUCUUUGAAUAUGUCGGGCUUUUUCUUUCGUCUCGUUUGAAGUUAAAUUAUGCCUAACGUUAUGAUCUAGCUGGAACUGAAUGAAACUUGAAAUGGUGCAGAAUUAGGAAUUUGGCUUCUGUUACUCUAAAAUUAGGACACCUGACGUAGAAUUUUGGACGAGCAGCUAGGUUGUAGGCUUAGCUAGUUGUAGAUGGCCUUUUUUUCGGUGUGCUUGAAAGCUUUACUGAAUGUGCUUGUGAGUCUUUUACUUUUGUUUUUAUUGUAUGUUGAUUUUUAUUGUUAACGGCUCAGGAAUUCACAUCAUUAACCUUGCAAAAACAUGGGAAAAGCUUCAAAUGGCUGCGAGGGCUAUCGUUGCGAUUGAGAAUCCUCAGGACAUUAUUGUCCAAUCUGCCAGGCCAUAUGGUCAGAGGGCUGUCUUGAAAUUCGCUCAGUACACCCAUACUCAUGCAAUUGCUGGGCGCCACACUCCUGGUACCUUCACCAACCAGCUCCAAACCUCAUUCAGUGAGCCUCGUCUCCUUAUCCUUACAGAUCCAAGAACUGAUCAUCAGGUUAUCCCUCGUUCUUGUUUGAGGUUUACCAACUGGGCUUUUAAAAUAAAAAAUAUGGACGGAAUUGUCUUGCUUGUUAUGAUUCUCAAACUUCUUUUGAACUACCUGCAGCCUAUUAAGGAAGCAGCUCUGUCAAACAUCCCAACCAUUGCUUUUUGCGACACUGAUUCCCCUAUGCGAUAUGUUGAUAUUGGUAUCCCUGCUAACAACAAGGGGAAACACAGUAUUGGUUGCUUGUUCUGGCUUUUAGCAAGGAUGGUUCUACAGAUGCGUGGUGUUAUCCCACAGGGUCACAAGUGGGACGUUAUGGUAAACACUACUGUGUUUUUGUUUUGAUUUCACAUCUAUCAGUAAUUUUGCUCAUUCAAAUGGGGAAUAUGCUCCAAUUGAUAUUCCCCAAUUGACUUCUGAAGUUUGAUGAUGUUUGAAAUCUUCAUAAUUUCUUGUUUGGAUUAACAUGAUGUUCUGACACACAUAAACAAGUGGCAGCAAAUUAGACUGAAAUUUGUUUCUGUUACUUUGCAUGUCUGAAAUAUAGUUCUUUUUUUUGCAUUUUGGCAGGUGGACCUGUUUUUCUACAGGGAGCCUGAGGAGGCCAAGGAACCACAAGAAGAGGAGGCACCUGCUCCAGAUUAUGGUGACUUUACUUCUGCAGCUCUUGGAGUUCAGGAUAGUUGGGGUACUAGCAAUAUUCCAGAGGGAGAAUGGACAAUGGCUGCCCAACCUCCCAUUCCUGCAGUUCCUGCAGCUGGUUGGCCUGCAGAGCCUGGUUAGUUUCUGUCCUUUAAAACAAAUAAUAUUAUACGAAAAGUGUUUUACUGCCAAGUUUUUGUAUUUAAGUGUAUAAUGUGAAAUGGUGAAUUGGCUGUCCUUAUUUUGUUAGAUGCUGCCACCAGUUUAUGGCUUAAACUUUUUUAGUUAAAAAACAAGUGUUUUUGAGUAUCUUUUAAUUCUGCAACUUUUGUUAUCUAUCCUUGGUACAUUGAUGUCCCUAAGCUUACUGCUUGUGAUCCAUUUGUGUUGAAUCGUGCAUUGUUUUUAUUUUGUAUCCUAACCCUGUCAACUAAUUGUGGAAAUUUGUCUUCUGAUUGUCUUCAGUCCCUGCAGUAUCAACUGACGGAUGGGAGGCAACUGCUGCACCACCAAUGGCUCCUGGAGUUAGCCCCAUGGCUCCUGGAGUUAACCCCGUGGCUCCCCCCGGUGGGGAUUGGGAGUAGAAGUUUUUGUUAGGGAACAUUUUGUUAAUUUGUCCUCCUACCUUAAGCCAUGCAAUCUGCUUAGCUUGAACAUCUGUUAGUUUAUGGUCUGAAUCCUGCCAUAGUUAUUUUUGUAGCGGUUGAGCUUAAAGAAAAUUCUCUGAUACAGUUCCAAAAUGGUGUUAUAUGUUUGUCUCAAAACUAUAGAGCUUAUCUUCUGCUGAUAUGCUGGUGGAUGUUUUUUGAAAAUUUUGCAUGUUGGGCAUUUUCAAGUCAAAAACUAAGUUGAUUAUAUUAUGCUUUGUGCACGCAACCUAGUGUGAAGUUUGAUCCCUAAGAAAAAAAAUGUGUUGGUACUGGUUUGCCUUGCCAGUUGUGCAAUCCCUUAAAACGGGGUAAAAGCAUUUUCAUCUUGAAAUCGAUCGCUCCUGGUAACAGCUGAAUGUGGCACUUCCUAUUCUUGUAUUGCGCGUUCUAAUGAAUUCUUGUGCAUUCAAGUGGAUAUUAGACCUGGCCUGUCACGCCAGAUCUAAGCCACUGGGGUGGGUAUGCUAUCGGAGCGAGGCCACUCGCCACUCCAAGGGCGGUGGGAAGUCAAAAAGCUACCUAUGUUUAAUGCAUGCGGCAGAUGUGCCUUGAAUCUUAAAUACGCGUGUUACACUUACACGUACGAGGUGUACCCAAUACGCCUUAAAGAUACGGUGCUCGAUGAUUGGCUGGCCCGCCUAACGGUGCAAAGAAAAGAAUUUGGUAAAACUUGGGAGUAAAAAUCUUGCCACACAUACAACAAUGUAGAUAACGGAAAGAUUUGUAGGAAUGCCGGAAGGAAGUAAAUUAUAUCCGUCACCAUGCCGAGUGAGUUGUGUGGACAGCUCAGCUUGGAACCUCAACGGACGAGAUUUUGAACAGGUAUUUCCAGUGUUGCAGUUCACUGGCUAAGUUGCGUGAAUCCCUCUCAUUUCUCUUGCAUUAAAUUAUAGAGAAGGAAAGAGAGAAAUGUUCAUAAAAAUCCGUUUGCGUUAAUAAUCAGAAAAUAAUCCAGGCAAAUAUCAAGAAUAAAUAAACUCGGGAUGUUGUCACUUAUCCAUGAAUUCCUCCAUUAACUUUCAAGUAAAAUCUUGUGCCGUGAUUUUGACUGAGGACAUUCUUGAGCAUAUCAAUGGCAGGAAGAUGGUAGCAAAAGAGCAAGUGGACUCGUAAUAAUGGCUAAGGUAUUCAUUCAUGCCCGGAGAGAAGGUUUGAUGAGAUUUUGGUCUGACUAUUUUGCUGUUUCCGGACUGCCUGCACCACUUUUAGGAGGUCUAUUCUUUCAUUUAUUUAUACUGAUUAUAAGUGGAAGCAUAAAUGUCGCAAAACAGUUUUGUCAUCGAGAUUCAUUCAACGGCUUGGUUUUGCAUAUCCAUUCAGUCUCUAAACCAACAAGCAACAGAAAUUGAGAAAAAAGAAGGGGGGGAAAAAAUACGAAAAAAAAAAAACACGUCCAAAGUUCGUGCCAAGCCUGUACAGUUAACUUAGAGACAACGAGCCAAAUUUGUGCAAUGGUUCCCCAGCUAGCGGAGUGUAUCACUAUCGAUCAUGGUUCACCUUCUGAAGCUGGGUGCUGCUGAUGACAUGUUUUGAGGGUUGGCAUCAUCAUCAGGUAACUUGACAGCAGAGUAAGUACCUGCACCAGCCAGUGCCCCAAGUACGGGUGCAGUCAGGUAAAUCCAUAUGCCUUUGAAGUUGUUUGCUGCUACAGCUGGACCCAGAGUUCUCACUGGAUUCAUCGACGCUCCCGUUGACUCCCUGUACCAUUACACGAGUGGAAAGUUUUAGAUUCAUUGGUGAUUUCUCAACAUUUGUUAAUGAUGCUGGGGACUAAUAAUUCAGGAGGAAUGACUGGUGUGCAUCGUUUUGAGCCUCUCAAAGAGUUUACUUUUUUGUAUUUCCCUUUCUUCUUCUUGAGCAGAGAGAAAGGAAGCAUCUCGUUUUAACUUUCUGAGUUGUCAACUCACUUUCUUUUUCCCAUUCCAAAAGGCAAUUAUACUUACAUUCAUCUUGGCCGCAAUAAUGAUAGCAGCAGAAGUUUUCUUUUCCACACAAAAUUUUUUAAAAAAAAAAAAAGAUUUUCUUUUCUUAUUCCUUUUUGCAGCAUUAUUAUCCUUCCAGAAAUCUUUAUGGCCAAACCUUUUUCAUUCUGAAUCAUCAUAACAAGAAAUCUAUGUGGAUUGUUGCCUGUUGGUCUCAUUUUUGGUUUUCUAACAUGAAAAGUACUUCUUGAUUUCUUCGUUAUGGUCACCUUCUCAUGGAUUGAAUUCAGCCAUUGACCGUGGCCCUUGUAUGUUCACGUUUGAAAUUUUUUCCAUCACCAGUAUAAUUAGGAAAAGAAAUUAAGGGAAAAAAAAAUCAAAGAAAGAAUCACUUGAGAUGAUUAUUAAAAUUUUGAAGAUUACCCAGCUAUGAGUAUGUUGAGCAUGACUGUAGCUCCCACUGCAAUUCCUGCAAGCUCCCCCACCUGUGGAGUGACACAAAUGACAUGAUCAUCAAUCUGAGAAUUAACCAUCUUCUCACAAGGUUCCACUAGUGUCCUACACAUGUUAGGUUCUUGCAUGAUAAUGCAUGUGAGGAAUAACAUGAUAAUAAGUCUGAGAUUUGGUCAUCAUGUUACAUUACGAUUACAUACAUGUGGAUGGAAGUACAGAAUCCAAGCAAACUUAUAAGACAGAAAACCAAAACUGCAAUAAGGCCAAUAAUUUCCAUACCCUGUUUAUAUCAUUACAUUGAUUUCCAGAUCACUGACAGAUUUGCCUGAACAAGUGUCUGUAAUUUUGUAGUGGCACAACUUGAUGUGGUCGUUCAAAUUAAUAUUCAUUAAAAUCUGAAACUUGCAGCUGUCAUCGUUUAACAGAUUGUAGCAAUGAAUUACAAUAACUAAGACUAUUAGUAGCAUCUGAGUAGUGAGGGGUGACUUACAGCUCUGGUGUCAGUGGCCACAGCAGUAACAACAAACAUGAGAUUGAAGCCAAUGAUGAAUUCUAAAGCAAAAGCUUGGCCAUACUCUCCUGAUGGAAUAGUUACUCCCCCGCUCAUAAUAGGAUGGAAAAUUCCCUUGAGUAUAAAUGCAGCAGCUAAUGAUGCCAAUACUUGUGCUGCUAUGUAUGCUGGAACCUGACCAAAAUACAAAUUGCACCAUCUAAGAGCAUUCAAAUGCUGUAAUCUUAUAGUUGAAAACUACUUGUCUCACUCUUUUGCAGUUUUUAAGGUUAGUUGUUUAUACAUGCUUCCAAGGAAAGUGCUUGAGAGCAGCAAAGGCAAUGGUGACUGCUGGAUUGAUAUGGGCUCCUGAAAUAUGGCCUGUGGCAAGAAUCACAAUCAUAACAGCGAGUCCGGUGGAUGCUGAUAGGCCUAUAAGAGUCUCUGAGUCUUGAGUCUUUUGAUUUACUAUGGCCGUGGCUGUCCCUGAAAAGAUCAGUAUCAGAGUGCCUAUAAACUCAGCUCCCACCUGAUUUGAACAGCAAUUCAAGAACCAAUAAUAUCACAUAAAAAGUUAUAUAUGACAGUUCAUAUUCAGUGCGGGAUGUGGAAAUUCAUAACAGCUUUUGGGAGAUUUGCACACCUUUCUUGCAAGUGAGACGGGAGGAGGCGGCAAUGCGCAGGAGACAGAGGGUAAGGUACCUUCUUCCAAGGCCCAUGCUUCAACCGUGAAGCACUUGCAGCUACUAAGAAGGGAUCUUCUGCCAUUGCCACUCCUCUCAGGCUUGAUCCCACCAAAAAGGGGAGCUCCAGGAGUCCCCGGAGUAACUGGCGUUGAAGGGGCUGAUGGGACAUCUUCAGAAUCCAUCAAUAAAGCAAAGGGAUUGAGGACAAAGUAGAGUUGCAGUAAGAGAAGCUGGUACCGCGUGCUUAAGUGCUUACCCUUCCUUCGUCCUUGUGACUGAGCUGGAACAUGAUGCACAGAUUUAUACUACAGGGCGUAAGAGAGUUGACCUGUGCAGUACCAUGAGAAAAAGAAGGCCUGAAGUGAAAUUAGUGGACUGAAUUCAAAUGUGAUGAGCUAGUGAAAGUGGAUUUGGAAGUGGACGGCGGGACAAAAUCAGAAAUUUUUUUGCAUUAGGAAUUGAAAAGGACAAAAUCAGAAGCAUUGAACUUGAGACACCAGUCAUGGUCUUCCCGUCCCUUCCACUAUGAAAUGUACGUAUUUUCACUCGAGGCUAGCUUGAACUCAAUUAUUGUCAAGACCAUUGUCUGCAGCGCCCUUAGUUGUUAAAGGAAAAGAAAUAACCUUGGAUUUCAACUUUAGUAAAUUAAGAUCAGGAGACGGCCAGAGAAUCAUGGUAGGUGAAUUGCUGGCGAGAAUGCACUCCUCUUAGGAGAUUGUGUCGUCAAAGUAAUCAUAUUUGGCAGCUUUCUUUUGAUUAACAAUAGCAAAAAAGGACUAAAGCAAGAAAAUGAUGCGCUGGUUGCUAGGAUCCCCUUGGGCUGUUUAGUUGUUUACAGAAGAUAAAUGGUUCAGUUUAGCCAACUUAAGGAGUAGUUAUGGCUUCUUAACCUUUUCUUCACUUUCAUGUCGCAGUGUAAUGAUUGAGAUCAUUACCUCCAAUUUUAAAACUAACACAGACAAGUCGGUGCAUUAGUAUCAUGCAGGCAGCCAGUUGAGAGCUACGCCUCUGUGGAUCAAUUUGUUGCAUUUGAAGGGGGUGUAGGGCUCUGAAAUUGAGAAAUUCUGUCAUGUGACGUACCCCAUUUAAACCCCGAUUUCACUUAAAACAAAAAUUCGAAAUUGAAAGGAUUUCAACGAUAUUGGAAAGUGAAUUAAAGCAUUUUAUGAAAUGGUACAUAUUUAAUUUUUUUCCUUCUGAUUAUGUUUCAUAAUGAAUGAUCAUCUUUAUGUUUCAUAACGAUAUUUGAAUGAUUCCAGCUGGUGAACAGAUCAUGGCUAUUGUCUCCAACCCAAUGCUUGUAUAGCUUGGAAAGUGAAGUACAGAUUUCUUGUCUCCAAUUUGUAAGUUUACCAAGUGACACUUUUUAAUAAGUAUUUGGCACCAGCUACUGAUAAUUGGCAAGUAAAUUCCACCCAUCCUUGCUCCUUCAGUACAUGACAAUUUUGGUCCCUUAACUUACAUGACCCGUGAUCCAAGAUGAACAUUUUGCUUUAUUCAUUUGGUGGAUCUUCAGAAUUCAGAUCAGCAUCACCUUUGAUUGCUAAGCUUCAGCAGGGGUUUUGAAUCUUGUUACGGAGAAGUGAAAACAACGCAAGAAUAAUACAAGUAGUUUUUUUUUCCCCCCUUUCUUUUCUUGUUGAAGCAUAAGAAUAAUAAUAGUAAAAGUUAGCAAAUGUAGAACACACAAAUGAUUCCAGUAGUGUCUUGCUACGUUCGUUUACAUGGCAACUUUCUUUUGAUGCAUUUUCCCCAAUCAGCCAAGUUGGCUACGCUGUCUUAUCAGCUACAUAUAUAUAUAUCGAGUCCCUAGAGCUAACUCUACCGCUAGAAACAAAAGUCAUUUCGAGCGUGGGAAGAAUGCCUAAGUCUAAAUUUUGUUCUAGUAUACUUUUGUACCAGUUUGAGAUGCAGAAGUGAAGGAUAAAAAGUAGUCCCAGUAUCAUAAACGAACCAAGAAAGAGAUUCUUAACAUAAUAAUUAUUAGUAUUUCAACGGCAGGGCGUUUCUUGCGCUGACGGAUGGUUGGCCAGGAAACAAAGUUCUUCCAAUGUCAUCUCAAAGACAAAUUCUUGAUGUCUAAUUCAAGAGAGCCAAUGAUGCAUUUGCAUAAUUAUCUACUGAUAUGCAGAAGAACUAAAUUCACUUAAUGCCCAACUUGCCAUGCCAAGGGCAUCUCUGCCUUCCUUCAGACGUAUCAGAUUAUGGCAGCACUUUCCAUCCAGCUUUUUUUGUUUAUGCAGCCAUUUGUUGCCAUUAAUAUGAUGGAUGCUAGUUGAGAAGUGAGAUGCGAUGAUAAUUAUUGAUGUGGUACAGAGCACAUUAAUCAAAGCAAUAAAGGUUAAUAAAUACUAUAGUAGUAGUAGUAGUAGUAAUAAAUACAACCUGGUAAAUGAAUGAAUGAAUCAAACUGCUGAAUGAUGAACAGCGUAACAGUACUAAUAGUUUGAAUGCUCGGGGGCUCGUAUUGGGCUAUCCACCCUCUCUCAGCAAAGCUGCCUAACCCAAGGAAUGGACCCUCCGUCCUCGGGUUGAUUCUAACCAACCACAAGAUUCCCUCCCGAUGGGACUCGGCACUGCGAGUCGGUCAAAUUGUCCGGCCGUAGGGACGGCCUCCCCAAUAAAUAAUAUACUAGAAACAAAAAUUUACCGCAAUAAUUUUAUUAUUAAUGUUUUUUUUUUAGUAAGAGGAGAGGAGUGAGAUUUAAAGAGUGAGAGACACUACUGCAACUCAAAAUUUCUAAGACUGGGAGACUUUUCGCUAUUUGAGGAUGAAUUACAUUUGAUUCCACCAGACAUUUAUUGCAAUUAUAAUGAAUUUGUUGAAGGGAUUGUUAAUGAAAUCGUUACGUGACACAUGAUGAACACCGUAUAAUUCACAGUAAAUUACUUGUACAAUUUCGUAACAACACGCUGCCGACCGAAUACGUGCAACAAUUUCGUAACAAUGCGCUUAGGGCAGUAAUCGAAUCGAACUGUUCCCGAACUGAGCAGCUCGGUCAAAAAAUUGACUCGAAUUCGGGUUAAUCGAGUUCGAGAAACUUGAUAAGCCAAACAAAUCGAGCUCGAGUAUCCAUAUGCAAUGUUCAAAGGCAUAUUGAGUCUUAUUGAUUUUAAUUUUUUAAUAUAUCAUUGUUAUUAUGAAAUUACCCUUAUGCCUAAAAAAAGUGGUUGAAUUUAUAAAAUGUUUCAAAUCGUAUGAAAAUUUUUAAAGGGCAAUAAUGUCUUUUAAUUUAAAAAUUGUCAAGAAAAAAAAAUCUGACUCGAAUUCGAUAAGACUCGCAUUGACUCGAGCCAAUGCAAGUCGAACCUGAGUUCUAUGAGCAAUCAUUGAACUCGAGGUCGAGUUUCAAUAAUACUACUUGUUCAAUCUCGAGUUUGAACAUCCUUCUUAUAUAUCAAGUCGAACUCGAGUAUGGCGAUAUUUGAGUUCGAUUAAACUCGAUUACAUCCCUAAACAUGCUACAAAUGAGAGAUAAUAAAACAAGAUCUCCUUUCCUAUGAUGAGCAAUCAUCAAACUCGAGAUCGAGUUCCAAUAAUACUACUUGUUCGAUCUCGAGUUCGAACAUCCUUCUUGUAUGUCGAGUCGAGCUCGAGUAUGACGAUAUUCGAGUUCGAUUAAAUUCGAUUACAUCCCUAAACACGCUACAAAUGAGAGCUAAUAAAACAAGACCUCCUUUCCUAGGAAAGCCCCUUUAUUUAUCUUUUUCAAGAAGUUGCAAAAAUGCCAAAACAAAUAUCUUUUAGAAAUCUUGUAUCCGAUACCCACUAUAAAUUAGGAGUAACUUGCAUCCUAUUGAACAUGUGUUACAUAUCCAUGAUGCCAAAACACAUCCGUUCAAGGAAUCAAUUAGGUUCAUCUCUAGUCCUUGCAAGUAAUCUACUCUGCCAGUGACAGAUCCCUGUUAGUCACAAGUUAAAAGGAAAAGAAAUUUCCAUCAGUCUUUCCUUAUUACAACCACUUGCAAGCACCUCGAGUCUGAACUCGACGUCAAGUUGAUCAAAUUAAAUUCGAAUUUAAAAAUAUUAAACUUAUUAACUCGCAGUCGGCUCAAGUUGAAUUAUAUAUAUAUGUUAUUUAAUAGUAAAAUUACAUAUAUAUUUUUAAUAAUUUAUUAUUUAUUAAGAAAAAAUAUUAAUUUUUUAUUUUUAAAAUAAAAUAAUUAUUUUUUAUUUUAAACUCGAGUUCAAACCCGACUUGAAUUUGAGUCGAGUUCGAAUUUCGUAAAACUAUGUUAAGAUCCGAUUCAAUUAGAUCGAAAUUCGACUCGAUUCGAUUUGCUGAGGAACUAAGAAUUUAGUAUUAACAACUCUAUAUUAUAUUCAUGGUAGUCUAGUACUGCUUAUUGCGGGCCAAUCACUGCUCAUCUAUUUGAGAGAAAUUUGUUUGGAUAGGGUAUUAUUUGAAAUAAUUACUGUAUCAUUUUUUGUGAUAUGAUUUAUGUGAAAUAAAAAAGUGAUUGAAAAUAUAAAAAGAUGGGUUGAGAAAUAUGUUUAUGAUGAAAGCGAGGUAUUGAAACUAUCCAAACAAUUUACUCGACUCUAGUAGCUCAGGGAGUCUUGAAGACUCAAACCAAAAGCCCCCACACUGAAAAUUACAGAAAGUGAAACCCCACUUAACAAACGUGCACUUUUACCAAGGCUCGAUUCCCGAUUUCGCAGAAGAGCUCAUAUCACUUUGCAAGUCCGGGCCCCGGUUCAUUGACACAUCAUCGGGAUUAGUGAGCCUUAUUAUUAUUAAUAUUUUUCUUAAGUACUAUGAUUAGUCAAUAUUAUAUUCCCAUACACGUACAUUCUUUAGACGAAGGUGUACAACACAAUUAUGUGGAAAUUGGUAUCAUGACGAAAAUUGUUGAAUAUUAGUAGCAUGUAUAUUUAUUAGUAUGUGAGCUGUAAUCGUGUCUCAUCUAAUGAUGAUGUUUGAUUAACGGUUCCGAUUAGUCAUAGUGGUUUUUGCUGCGAAACACCGGAUAAUUCUCAUCAGACCUCCAAGGUGGAGUGGAGGAAGUGACUCUACAGCUUUUUCACUUUUUCAGCGCCCCACCAAAUUCCCUCCCACCAGUGACUUGUCCAUACUCUCUGUUGGUACUGUACUAAGAAGGAUAGUAUUAUAGCUACAAAACCAAAACCCAUUUCUCUUACUGACCUUUUUUCUUACUGCUUCUUAGGGUUUUGAGGAACCAUUUUAGCUCUCCAAAAACCCUGCGAUUGCUGCCGGCGAUUCUCGUGGUCGCCGCCGCAGUUACUGACGGUGGAGCCACAUACAUUUGGUCAUCGUUUACAGUUGUCGUCUUUCACUGGUCACUCCCCGCUCUGUCUCUCCUCCUCCAUCUUUUUGAGGUAAAAUUUUGUAGAGGCCUUUUAUUUUUCUUUUUCUUUUUCUUUUGUUGACAAAAAAAAAGUGGUGGAAAUUUUGUGCUUCCCCUCUGUUUUCUGGCGUUAUUUUCUGUUUUUAGUAUCUAUAAAGCUCUGCAUUUGCGUAAGCUUUACCGUACUUAAUCAGUUAAUCCCCUUUGCUUAAUGUGAUUUUUUUUUUCUCGGGGCAUCAUUUCAUCCUCCUUUUGAACCUGCGUAAUGGGACAUUUUUGAAGUGUUAGCUUGGAGUACUGUUUGGAAUUUUUUUUUUCUCUUUUCAAUCAAAUUGGUUCCUUUUUUUCAACAUUUUUUCUUAUCGUAUCUGUCAAAUUUGCUAAAUUUCUAAUAUUAGUUCCUGUUCACUCGACUAUUAAGCACUUUUGAGAAAGCAGAAGAAAGCAGAAGAAUAUUUACCCACCAUCAGAGAAAGCAGAAGAAAGAGAUUAAGCAGAAGGUGCUCCUGUCUGAGCACUUUUGACUAAUAUGGCAUAAUUUGUUUUUCUAGAGAUUUGUCUUGCCUCUGUGAACUCUGC